CAAACAAAGGUAUGGGAAAUGAGUGGGAAUAGAGGGGGAAUAGCAUAGCUAUUCCCCAUACCAAACGUUUAGUUAGGGUAAAGCUGCUGGUAGAGAAACAAAUCAUGCGCGUGCCGAAGCAACAAGCAGAGAAUCAGAGUCAUCGUUCAGAGUAAUUUCCCAAUAGAUGACAUCACCCAGAGUAUUCUCAUAUGGGUGGCAUCAAAACACUACAAGCGAGAAUCACAGGCAGGACUAAUGCCAUUGUCCCUAUUUACAACCAUCUCUGCAGGCAUAGAGCAAAGUCACAAGAGGAAAAAACGCAUUUAACCUCAAAUCAAAUCAACAUCCAAAACUCAUCUAUCGGACAGAACGCAUAUCCACAAAUAAGUCCAUCUUGCCUUUGACAUUCUAUAUGUCUGCAUCAAAUCAUAAAUCACAUUUUGUACAAGCUUCAAAUCAUAUCCAAGCUUUUGAUUUCAAAGGAUCAAUUUAAUUAAAAAUAAUUGAUUAAUUAAAUAAUUAACGAAGCACAAAAUGUCACUAAAAGAAAUAUUUACUCAAAACCUAGGAUUAUGGUGUCUUUCAAAACUUUGUCUGAUUUAAAUCAUUUCCUUAACUUAGAUUAAUGGAGUACAUGGCUAACCUAGAAUCCAAAUUAUGUACACGUCAUCUAUCAAGAUCAUGCACACAUACCUUUUCUAAAUUAAUCCUAUAUGUCUAUGUAAAUUAAUUAGAAAAUUUUAAUUAAGUUCAUGUUCUAAUAUGACUGCCUAACAUAUUAGGCAUAUGUCAAUUCUAAACACGAAACUAUCACCUAACUUCAAACUGAAUCACACAAAGGCUAUUCAAAACUAUGGUCUAUUCUAAACUCUCUCUAUCGAGUUCCAUUUAGAGACCCACUAUGUCACGACCCGGAAUUCCCAUCGAGCUAGUGACAAUCGCCGCGAUGUCUCGAUUGACAUUCAUUACCCGGAAUGCCAACCGAAACCUCACAAGGCUUUCGCAUCAGUUUUACUUCUCCCCUGUAAGCAACAGUUAUUAAAUAUCAUGUUUUAAAGAAAUAUAGACUAAUUUCAAAUCAAAAAGUAAUUUCUACUACACAUGGGUAUUUUGGUCAUUUUACCCAAAAUUUUCAAACCCUGGUAAAAAUAUGAUAUACGAGUAAUAAGCAUCCAUUUCAUGUCUAAAACUAAGUUUCGUUGUCUAAUUCAUCAAUUUAAAGUGAAAUUAUAGCCAUUCAAAUUAAAUAAAAUAUUCUAUUUUCUUCUAAAACAAUAUUCAUAGAACUUUACGUAAAUAAUUUUUGUAGCGUAAAAGCAAAAUAAAUUCAUACAUAUAGUGGCACACGCAGCCAGGUAUACAAAAUAUUCUACAAUGACAUGUGAGCCCCCCAAAAUAAACAAAUAUGUACAAGAAGGUAGACCUUUGAUUUCUAAGGAUGUAAAUCCAAAAGUAGAUCCUCACGAAAUCAGCUAUCUACAGACUAUCCUGAGCCUAAAAUGGUUAAAAAAAAAAAAGAGGUGAGUUUUUCUGAAUUCAGUGAGUAAGCAGAGUUCGUCUGUAGCAUCUAAAGUUAAGUAAAUGGAGACAGUUAAAUCAUCCCAUCAAUAUAUAUAUAAUUCAUAGCAUCAAAACCCAUUUCAAUCCAUGUAAAAACAAUCACAUUUCAUCAAGAAAAUCAACAAGGCUUUUGACUUUCUUAAAAACUUGGCUCGUGCCAAAAAUUAAUACUCGAUGAUGCCUUGCACCAGGCAUCCAACCGAGUCCGCCAAGGCAGUUAAAAAGACAUAUACACAUAAAACAUGUUUUCACGUUUAAAAACAUAGUCGUUCCUUGGCGUUGGCUGAGUUUCACUUUCACGUGGUGGUUCGGCGUGAAGUGAACUCUAAACUUUACCUUAGGAGAUACCCUCCGCGCCUCUCGUACUAAGGUAAAUAUAACGAGGUUUACCGUGCCCCUCUAAUAGGCUGGUCCACGGAAACCCGCCCACUGCAGUAAGUUAAAUACAUAACCCACCAAAUCAAUAAAAUUUCGAUAGCAUAACAUGGCUAAUAUAGUACUAUCCAACCUGUCAAUGUAAGACAAAACAAUUUAUAUAAUUCACAAAACCACAAUUUAAACCAUUCAUGCUACCACAAUUUCAUAAGCCAUCAAUUCAAAUCAUGUAUAUAUAUAUAAUAUGAAUGUAUAGCCUCCACUUACUCUAUUUCGAAAAUCAACAUUUAGUUUUAGAAUAAUUUAUAAAUCUCAUUCAUUUAGCCAACAUUUAAAAUGUAAAACAUAAUAAUUUGCAAAUUAAGUGCCUUAUUCUUUAAAAUCUUAAAACAAGUAUAAACCACUUUGAUAAUUAAGAUGAACAUCUGGUUACUCACUAUAAUGGGAAUUGGAGUGGUAGGAGUACUCCUAUUCUCGAUCCUCCGGCACGAUAUCUUUGCCUUUAUCCGGGGGUUCAGCAUCUAUCCAUAAUACACGAUACGUAAUUCAAUACAUUUGUGUGAAAUUGUUAUAAAACUAUUUCAGACUCUAUAUGAAUGCAUGAAGUUGAAUGAGAAAUGUUCGGAUAGUCACUUAAAGACGGUGUUCUACUUAGGUUCAAUUGUGAUUGGAAGGAAUUUAUAUUCAACCUAAUUCGAACUAUACACCAUUGAUUUAACCAAAACAUUCAAUUCAACUCCAAAUAUAUUCAUUACACUUCCAAUAAUCUAAUACACCAAAGCAUUACAAUGAACUUGAUUUUUGACUAACUUCACCAUUUUUCAAAAUUCAUUCCGAUUCCGAACUAACAUACUAAUCAAUGUCUACACAGUCUCGUAAAUCCAUAUAUAUCAUUAGGAAUCAAAUCCAAGUCCAUUUACUAUGAUUUUCUCAGUUUCUAUCAAGCCAUUUUUUAAAGGAACUAUACUUUUCAAUAACCGGUUUCGAUAUCCAACAUCAUAAUUCAUCAAUUCCUAGCUAAAUAACAUGAAUUACAACCAAAUCCAUCAUCAACAUGCCCUAUAGAAAAUUCAGCCAAAUAAGGGUGGUUGAAGAACAUGUGAUUUGCUUGCUUAUUUUUCCUUCCAAACAUCACAAAAUGACUAAAAACACUCGAAUAUUAUGAAAUCUAGCAAAAUCCAUCACCAAAACUUCUCCCUCUAAGUUUGGCCAGCAAAGGUUCCCUCUUGAAAACUUGAAUUUCAACCAUGGAGAAUGAAAAAGAAUGCAUGGGAAAGGUAGAUCACAAGCUAAAAUAAAAGAAAUCUUACCUUUACUUGCUUGAUUUCUUAAAAUCCAGCAAUUUCUCUUGGAUUUUUUCUUCCUAGGGUUUGUUCUUCUCUUUUUCUCUUUGUUCCCUUGCUUGGCCGGCCAUAAGAGUGUGAAUGUGAGGGUUUUAAGUGAGUUUAUAUAGGUAAUUAAAAUAAUAUUAAAGCUUGACACUUGUCACCUUUUAAUUGGUCCAUGUUUAAAAACUUAAUAAUUAAGCAUUUCAUUCCCACCACAUAUAAUCUCUCACUUAAAAAAAUAAUGGGUGAAAUUCAUGGGUUUGACAAGUGUCAUGGUGGUGUAAAAUUCCAAAAUUUCCAAUUUCCUCCUCAUGGACACUUAAAAUGACCAUUUUGCCCCUAUGUUCGAAAAAAUGUCGAAAUUGAAAUUUCACUUCUCAAAUUCAAAUAAUGCUCUAAUUAAUCAAAUUUAGACAAAAUAUCAUCCAACAUUCCAAUUUUGCCCUUGGGUGGCAAAAUGACCAUUUUGACCCUACGUUAUGAAAAUUCUCGAAUUAACUCCAAAUCAAUCCUUGAAUUCCGAAUCAUCAUAUUAAGACAUUCUAAGAUUCAAUAACUCUCAAAUACAUCGUAAAAUCUUUAUUUGGCCUAGUUCGAGGCUUUAAUAAACUUAAUUGUACCACUAGGUACAAUACCAACUUUUAAUGAUUUUUCGAUACAUUCACUUAUGCAAACAUUCUAUCAAGCACAUGAAUGACAUGACAAGUAUAGAGUAGGGCUUGACACACUACAUUUCAAUUGCAUAAACCAUGCAAUUUCCAUUAAUACCAAGCAAGGAAAAAUCAAAUAUUCAAACUACAUAAUGAAAUAACAAAUAAUCCUAGAAAACAAAAUUAGUUCAUCAAUGUUUUCAUAGUAGACAUAAUUAAAUCAAAGAGAAAAGACCAUUUCUACAUUAAAAUAAUCGGAAAGAAAUGAACAGUAAAGAAAUAUCAAAUCCUUUUCAAUUCUUGUUCCUUGAUUCCUUCUAUUUCUUCUUGUUUCUUUUGUUGAAGAACCUUUUCUUUUCCCUUAAAACUGCCAUUCGUAGCCUCCUUGAACCCCUUCUCACAGCUUUUGAAAAUCAUCUAUUUAUAGCCACCAACAAACCCUAAAAACACAUUUCCUGAUGGGCUACACUUCAUUAAUCCACAUCAGAGUGUCGCGGCUUUGCUCCAAGGGUGCCACGGUGCCCCUAACUUUUAUAUAUAUAUAUAUAUAUAUAUAUAUAUAUAUAUAUAUUGCUCGCUUUCCAUCUGACGUCGCAGUGCUCCUCCUAAGGCACUGCAAUACGAAGUUCUCAGGGUUUUUGUUUGGGAGCAUUACUGCUCCCUUGGGCUCUGAGGCCUUAACUCUUUAAGGCCACAGCGUUGCUUGCUCUUGUGCUUCCUUGGUGCAAUAUGCUGUGGUACCUCAUUUUACAAUGCAAGGUUCUCCUACCUCAACCCUGAUCUGGAUGAAAAAAUACACAUGAAAAUUAUAGGUCUGCCUCUCAGCUUUGUGAUGGUCCAAAAAUCAUGUUGAUUGGAUCUUUGUAGCUCAAGUUAUGACCAAAACAUCGCAACAUGUUCAGUAGAAGUCUGCACUUAAUCUCCAUUGCCUUGUUCACCAACAUUCAACUUUAACCACAUAUGAACCUACAAUAUCAAAGUCCAAAUCAGCAUUGACUUAAAUAGAGACUUUCAACAUGAAUUGGAGUUAAAAUUAAUAAAAUUAAAGUACAUCAACAUGCUUUGAACUAAUUAAAUAAAAACCUAAAAACUAUCUAAAAUUGACUCAAAACAUGAGAACUUGGUUAUUUUAUUAUCCGAAAAUGUAGCUAAAUAACUCUAUGUAAUAGAGUUAUCAAGAGGUUACCAUAUGGAUAGACUAUAUAGAGCACUGGAUAUGGGAUAUGGAUGGUUGCACUUCUAUUUAUUUUGAAUUGUUAGAUAAUUUAAUAGGAUGUUUUUUAAACAUUUAUUUUGUUAUUGCCAUAUGGAUGGUUGAUGAAACAUUUAUGUUUCGCAUUUAGAUGUUAAAAAUUUUAUGUUUCAUGUUUGAAUAAGUAUUUGGAAUAAUUAUAUCAUAUUGAACUAUCCACAUUUCAUAUUUUUCCUUGUAAUGACAUUUGAUCAAUUAUGAAUUACGAUUAAUAUCAAAAAAAUUUGAUUAAGAAUUCACAUUAAUCGACUAACCAAGUGACAUUACUUAAAUGAGAUCUUAGUAAAAGAUCACAUGAAUUUAUAAUUAAUUGAUCAAAAAAAAGAAUAUCGAUUCAUGUAAAGAUAGAACUUUCUUAUGAAUAAUACAUAAAGAUGUGUAUUCAAAAGAAGAAAGAAAAUUCAUACAGUGAUAUGAUUUGGUCCAUUCCUCUCUGAUACAUAAUGCCCAUUAUAACAUUCCAAACCAAAUGAUUUCAAACAUGCAUUAAGAUGAAGAGACAUGUAACUUCAUGGAAUGCUCAAAACAGUUUGAACAUUAAUAUCACAAAGGAUCUCAAAUUUAGUGGGGGCAUGAUGACACUAAGAAAAGAGUUUUUUUAGUAUUACCAUGUUACACUGAAAUCUAACAUUUGAGAUUUUGCAUAAAGAUGCAUAAUCAAUAUACAUUGAAUGUAUGACAACCCCAUGAAUUUAGUAAGAUACAUUAAGAUGUAUUAUUCAUAUAGAUGAAUCUACUAAAUUAGAUUUUGUGAGAGUUUUACACUUUGUUUUAAUAAAAGAGAUCCAAAAGGUUAGAUUUAAAAGAACGUACAAGUGUUCUUCUCUCAUACACAUGAAAAGGUUAGUGGGAGUGAACGUGAAUCUUUGGUGAUACAAACGCAUAGGAUGCAAUGUGUGUACGGAGAAAUUAUAAAAUUUCAAAGGGCAAUUGCACAACUGAAAGUGACAAAUGCAUGUGAUGCAUACAACAUAGUCUAAUUGGAAUGGUUCCAAAAAGGGAAAAGCACUACGAAUGUAUAUAAACAAAGUCCUAUACAUCAUAUUGAAUGGCUCAAAUAGGAGGAUAUUUAGAUCAUUAGUUCAACUAAUAAGGGAUUCUAAACAUUAUUAAUGUAACAAUGGAGUCAUGCUUAUAGAACUCGCGUCUCAUUGCAUCUGAAUAUAGUAAUAUGACAAGAUGUUGUGACAAUACAGAGAUAAAAGCAAGUAACCACAUUGAAGGGCUUAAACAAUCCACAUAAAAACGUGAUUGCUAAAUGGAUUGGAUCCACAUACGAUGGGUAGCAAUUAGCUUUGUGUUAGUGAGAGAUUGUUGGAAUAAGCUCUACAACCAAUUGAGAUUAAUCAAGGCUUGGUUCCAAUGAUUAGCGGCUUUCCUUCAUCAAUAAGAUAUCGAUUAUAAUGGGUUAUAAACCUAAUUGGAUGAAGUCCAUGAGAUUAACAUGCCUUGCAAGGGAAUUGCAAUAGGUUGCAAUUGUGAGAUCCCUAUGCAUCAAAGUAUAAUCUCUAAAUGUUCCUGGUCAAUGUAUCAUUGAGAUUGGACAUCAAAGAUGCCUAAAGACUGAUACAUUCUAUGUUCCUUAUUUAGAAAGUAAGCAACCGAUCUCAUAGGUUGAAGUAUAGAGAUACUUGGAACUAAAAUGUAGGUGUUUACCAUGGGAGAGCAAGUUCACUAAACAUGACCUAACAUGAGAAAUGCAUUUGGUAUCUCACUCUAGUGUUUAUGUAAUACUUCUGUUAUGCCAAUCAUGUAAAUACUUCUUAGACCUGAGACACUAGGUUGUCUUAUAUAUGGAGAGCAAUAUAUUUGAUUAUAUCCCUACGAGUCCUACCAAGGAUGCCAAAACAAGAUAUAGUUGGUUGUAGCAUGAAACAUGUGAAGGUAAAUGAAUGUUAAAGAUAAGAAUCAUCACCCCAAGUGAUUAAAGGGACAUAUCCUAACAGUUCUUGGUUGACAUUAGCUUAUUGAAGUCUUCGGCCAAGGAGACUUGGAGAUUAUGAAAAAAGUUUCAUAAGUCUCUAUGGAGCUAAUGAUCUAACUUCAGAAACGAUGUGGAGAUUUAUAAGAAUAGACAUUGCAUCAUGCUUUUAUCAUUUUCGGGAUAUAUGAUGAGGGAAUGAAUUACACUGAGAGACUGAUCACUGAAAGAUUUAGUCAAACCAUUGUGACUCUUUUAACAUUUGGGUGGCCAUGAUGCAUUGCUAGAUGCCAAUCUUGGUCUAUGGAAUUAAAUUAAUUAAUUAAGAUUACAAUUUAAUUACAUUACUAGCAUGUUAAAAGCCUAAUGGGUCACACAUAAAAGAUGAUGAUUGAGAUUAAGUUGAGAUAGUUGAUAAAGUUGGACUUAAACAAAAAUUGGAAGUUAUGAAAUUCAAUUGAACUUAAUUAAAUUAUUUAAUUAAGUAUAAGGACCACUUAACAACUUAAUUGAAUGGUUCAAUUAAGUGAAAGGACUAAUCAGUAAAUUACAUGAAAAAUAAUGUAAAAGCUAAUUAAGGCUAAAGUUGGACCAAAGUACAAAUACCUUGCUAUAAGCCACUCUUAAAAUAUAUAUAUAUAGGAAAAAAGGAAACCUAGCCACUUGUGUGCUACCUUUAGGUGUGUGCAAGAGAGAAAAACAUUUUUCUUCUUUGACAUUUUGGCAAAGGUGAUUUUAAAAGAAAAGUCUUGUGAACACUCCCUUGCUAGCACAUUGAACAGCUUAGCAAUCCCACCGUAACGUAGGGGUUCUCAAAAUCAUUGUGUGGAUGAUCAUUAGAGACUAUGCAUUUGGAUAGUUUUGGUUUGCAACAACCAAGCUUGGUGAAAAGACUUUUUAAAGGUUGAUUGACAUUAUUAGGACAAGAAGUCCAAUUUUUCUUUGUCCCCAAGGUAAUGAUCAGAUCAGAGCAUACCUUCAAUGUAUUAUAUUGUAAAUCAUCCAAAAUUCAAUGAAAAUGACCUUGGAAGGAAAGUCAAUUCCUAGUUUCAAUUCUAUUGCAUUCUUAUAUUCAUGUUUAUUUUAUUUUUGUUUCAAUUGUUAAUAUGGCAUGAUUAAACCCUUCUCCCAAUAGAUUUAUCCCCAUAUUUGUCUCAUAAUCCAUCUAAGGGAAGGUAAGAUUAUGCUUUAAUAUGAUUAACCAUUCAAUCCCUUCUUCUUGUUGGAAUUGAUAUAGUGAAUGCAUAAGAGGGAAAUAGCCAUUGACAUUGUCCUAUGAUUCUUGAGCACUAGAAAUCUUUAACAUUGAUCUUGGUAAAAUCUCAACAAGUGGUGUUCAUCUCUAUUGGUAAUAUCUCUUAAACACCAUAUUAAAUUUGUGUUUAAUAAUGCUUCACAUUCGUGCUUGAAUGAUGAUUGCUAUGUUUCUUACUAUACUUGUUUGCAUAUAAAUUUGUGAAUAUAUUUGCAUGAUUGGUUGUGUAUACAAUUUAUUUGUUUUUAGAUAAUUGCAUGAUUACUUGAUUAUUUAGUUGAAUGAAUAUGUGAACAUGCUAACAUAUAAAGUUGCACACAUACCACUAAAUCAUGUUCACAUUAUAUGUAGACUUAUAAAUGCUUUAUAUUUGACUAUGCUUGUCUACAUAUAUGCAUAUCCAACUUGAACUUAAAAGAUAAAAUGUCCACACUUUGCUUAUAAAUGCAUACCUAUAUGUGGCACUCUUGAUGAUGACUUAUAUUGUGCCGUGAUUGCAUUGAUUGAACAUAUGUCUUCAUGCUUUAAUUGAAUAUCUUAAGUAGAAAUAUAUUGUGACUUACCUACACAUAUUUGAUGCUUAGAUAUGCUAAAUGAAUAUAUUUCCUUAUACUUUGCUUGAAUAUAUAUUUAUUGGAAAUAUAUCUUAAUUUAAUGCUUUCAUACUGUAAUGAUUGGAUAUAUUUCUUGAUCUAUUGAUUGAAUUUUUGCAUGGAAAUAUAUCUCAUUGUUUUUAUUUGAUGGUUAAAAAUCAGUAUUAGACUUAAUGCUUAUUUAUAUUUGAUGAUUAUCACUAACCAUUAUUUCUUGAGUUUAAGUUCUUCAAGCUCCCACUUCGUAACCUUUUUUAUAUAACAAAAAAGGGGAGAAGGUUUAUGAACACAUUAAAAUGCUUUUAUAUUAAUUGAAUCUUUCUUGAAAACAUUUUUGAACUUCAUGCAUAAAUAGAGGGGAGAAUUUUAAAAUUUUAUAUUCAUUUCUUCUGCCCUUCUCACUUACACUUAAAUGUUUUCAACAAGAGCAUAGAGAUUAAUUAAGUUAGAGGAAGGUUUCAAGAAAUUUCAAAUGUAAUAUGCUCAUUUUUUGUUGUAUAAAAAAUGGGGAGAUAUUAGCCUUAAGUUACAUCAUGCAUUGAUUUGACAAAAAUCACAUGUUAUGUUGAACUUAAUGUCAAACAUUUGAAAUUGUCUCAAAUAUGUUUUUAAUCUCCUAAGGUUACAUAAUUGUUUGAAAAGCCAUGCAUCAUUAGAAAACAUCAUAUAAGCUCUCAAACAAUGCAUAUUUAGCUAAGAAAGCAAGAGCAAACAUGCCUUGAAAUGUCAUUUAAAGGUAGGAACAAGCCAAGGAAGAAAUAGCUGAAGAAAAGCAUCAAAAAGCUGAGGAAACCACAAGACACAAGUCAACAGUUGAUCCUAGAGAAGCUCAAGUCGAUCCAAUGGUAGAAAGAAUGCAAAACUUGAAGAAUAUAAAGCCAUAGUCAACCUGACAAUGCCUACAGUCAACCCUAUUCUAGAAAGCUCAAGAAAAUGAAGAUUUGAACAAACAUAGUCAAACCUAGCUUGAGUAUAAUCGACCCUAACAAGUCAAAAGCAUGGAAAAGUUAACUUUACACAGCCAUAGCCGACUAUAGAGAAGGUAUAGCCAAAUAUAGCAACUCAAACUUGCAAAAAACAAGUUCUCAGUAAUUGGAUCGAAUAAAGGAAAGUUAUACUCAACUAUGAAGCCCUAAUUUGAGAAAUUUUGAAGAACAUAGUUGACCCUAGGAGCAUUGUAGUUAACCCUCAAGUUUCAACAAUAGUCAGAUUUGAUUCAAACUUGUGUCUAACGGCUCUAAACUUCACACCAGCUAUAAAUAGUUGCAUUCAAGAUAUUUGGAAGUAGUAGAAGACUUAAACCAAAGCUUUAAAUCCUAGAGAGACCUCCAAAAGCUUAUCCUCACUUUCUAGCUUCAUUUGAGUCAUCCACCAAGCUUACAAAAUUUGAAUACUUGCUUCAUUUGAGCUAAUAUUUCUUCUUUCACUACACUCAAGCUUAAAGUCUAAGCAACCAACCUUUGUAGAGGCAUUUUCUUCCUAAAAUUUGUACCCCAUUGUAAAGGUUCUAGCUUAACCUUGAAAAGCAAUUUGUGAAAGUUUAUGGUUAAGCUUGUAAAAACCAUUGUUGGUGGGUUUUUGCUUGAUCUCAUUAAAAAGCAAAAAUCCUCUUAUGGAUUGUGUAAAAGUUAUCGCUUGAUCCUGUGAAAAAGUCAGUGUAAGGGUUAUCACUUGAUUCCGUUAAAAAGUAAGAAUCUUUUUAAUGGAUUCAAAAUUCCUUAGUUGCCAAGGAAGUAGAUGUAGGCAUCAAAAAAGCUGAACCACUAUAAAAUCUUUGUAUCUCAUUUUAAAUUUUCCAUAUUAUUAUUCAUUGCUUGCAUUUGCCUAAGGAAAAUAGUUUUACAUUGAUUUAUUCUUUGACACUUAGGAAAAUAUUUUCACAUUAUUGUUCAUAGCUAAUAUUUAACUUAGGAAAAUAUUUUACUUUGAUAUAUUCUUUUAUGCUUAGUAAUUUGUUGUUCAAAACUUGUUUUUGAUACUAGAAAAUAUUUUUGGGUGAAAAUGUUUUGAUUUUAUACUUAGUUUUUAAAAAGAAUUUUUAAAUACUAAUUCACCCCUAUCUUGGUAUAUUACUCUUUGAGACUUCUACACUAACAGUUGACUGAUUAAAGCACUCAACUUUGUUGUUGGUGACAUGAUCACUCUUCACAUGAGGGUCAAAUGUGUGCUUUGCCCAUAAUGUCAGUGGCCUUUCCAUGAACCAGUUGUAAACAUCACCAUUGGCACCCUUUAUUUUCAUCAUUGCCUCAUUCCAAUCCUACUAAUUGUAAACUUUCACAACCUUCCAAAAAUUGACCUUCAAUUCCAAUUCCACAAAAUUCUAUCUGAAAUUACUAUACAAGUGCCUAACACACCUUCUUUGCUUGCAUAGGGCAUGAUUUCUAUGAUGACGUCAUCUAGCCCCUACCAUAUAAGAAAUUUAAAUCAAUUAAUAAUACGAAAGUCUUCCUAUCCAAUCAUAGGGAUGCAUGAACCAUCCAUUCACACCAAUUACCUUUACAGUAUGCCCUACAUCUUGUUUUCUCAAUCUUGGCCCCAUACAACUUAAUUCCUUCUUAAAUCAUGCAAUUUUUCAUCUCCUCUCUAAAGUGUUGAACACUAUUAAAUAACAUGUUCUUGGCAAGCCUCUGUUGGAGUUGGAUUUUUGUGCAUGCAUGUGAUUGUGUAAACUAUGGAUUUCAAAAACUUUUCUAAUUACAAAAGCAAGCAAUCCAUAUUUUUCUAAUUAUGAAAGCAAGCAAUCCAAAUACACAAGUGGAACUUCACAUCAUGCAUCAAGCAAAUUUAUUUAAUCACAUCAAAAUUUCAAGAAUCAACAUGCAUAAGAAAUCAUGCCUUUUUCUUGUGAGAAUCUUGAUUCCUCCUAGUGAAUUUUAGUAAAUCCACCACCACACCAAGGAUUGAUUUCUCAACCAAACAAACUUACCACUUAUUCUUCAAGAAUCUUUUUUACUUGAACCAUGAGUGGACAAUGUGUGGAAUGCUAAAUCAAGACGGUAACUCAAUUGUUUCUCUCUUUUUCUUUUUUAAAACUAUGGUUAUUUUUCUUGUGAGAGGUCUCUAGAAAAAAUUCCAAAAUUAGAGAUCAAGAAAACCAUAAAUAAAAAGGCUGCUAUGGAAGAUUUUUGAGGAAAGGAGCUUGCAACUAUAGGUUCGGCCAAAAGGUUUUCUUGUUAAGAAAUUCCCUUUCUUAUUCAUUUUUAAAAGGUGCAACAAAGACUUUAAUAGUAUACUUCGUUGACUGCAUAUGUUUUUUAUGAUAACAAAACAUUCCCCAUUCAUUUUCUAACUUCACUAUAUAAGUAUGCAUGAUUAAAUUUUAUACCUCUAACAAAGUUGUUAAUUAAAGGUAAGUCAAGGAGCUUGCUAAGUUUAAUGAAGAGUUAAUCAGUAACUGAUUAAAGGACCUUAAUUAGCUAAGGCAUGGUUGUGUGGUAAGUUAAAGUAAAACAGAAAUAUGCUAAUCAAUUAAAAGGUUUGGUUAAUCGGUUAGAGCAUAUGGUCCUAAUAUCCUCAAGCGCCAAAAACAAGUUUUGAAAAUGUUGUUGACCGUUGAAAGGAGACAAAAUGAAGAAGUUCAAAAUUCAAAAAUCUUCUAGUCGAUUAAAGCUGAUUUUAAUCAAUUAUGGCUAAAGGAAGUAAAGCCUCAACCUGUUAAGUGAAGUGCUGACCAAUUAGAGGAAGACUGUUAUGUCGAAAAGUGAAAACAAAAUGUUUGUAAUCAGUUAGAACCUACUGUAACCAAUUAGAGGAAGUUUGCUGAAGAAAAAGAGUCUAAAGGCAAAGAAUUCUUAAUCAGUUAGAGCCUCAUGUAAUUGGUUAGAGCAGAGAACAUAGCAGCAGGAUAGUGCAAGGCAGAGAAACUGUAAUCGGUUAGAGCUGCCUGUAACUGAUUAGCCAAAGUUUGUCUCCCUUUUUGAAAUCAAACACUAAAAGAUAAAAAUAACGGCUAAAAGUGCAUCAGAGUUGUUCCUAAUAGCUAAAAACUGUCUCCAACAGAAAAAUCUGACUUCCCAUGUAUAAAAGGAAGCUCCAAUUGUCAAAGAAGGGAGAAAGUUGAAAAAUUAAGAAGAGAAAAGCCACUUUGAGCAAAAACCCAAACAUUCUACACAAAAAACACUUGUCUUUCAUUCCAUAUCCAAAAAAAGUGUUUGAGCUUGAUUGUAAUUUGUCCAAACUUAUAAAGGUACUUAAUUGUACUUUUUUUUCUUCUUUUUCUUGAGAAAUUAGAAUGUGGGAAGCACUCUAAAGCUUGUUGUAAGGGAUUAGAGCUUGGGUUAGAAGCUCACCUUGUAAAAACAUGGUGGUAGCUAUUAAUUCCACUGGUUUAGUGAUGUUGGGUUGAAAAUCCUUGAUUGGGAGAUCAAGGCAAUGGAUAUAGGUCAAGGGGACAAAACCACUAUAAAUACUCUUGCAUUGUCCACUUCUCUUUACCCUUCCUUACUUCGUAUCCUAUAAUUUUAACAAGUUCUAAUCCUUCUCCUCAUCUAGUUGAUUAAGUGCUCUUCAAGCUCUAAAGGGCUGAGUAGAAAAUUUUAGUGCUAUUCACCCUCCCUCUAGCACUCAAACAAGACCAACAUAUUCCAUCAUGGACUCUUUUUUAUUUUAAAAAAAUUAAUUAAAUUAAAUUCCUAUCAAGAGUCCAAAUUGGUUAUCCAUAAAGGUUUAUAGUUGUACCAUGCUCCCCUAAAAAUUAUUAAAAUUAUAAUUAAAUAAUAAAUAAUUUAUUUUUUAAUCAUAAUUAUUUGUCCAAUUCAAAAUAGGAUUCCUUAUUGAAUAAUUAUUCUAUUUUAUUAUUAUCCAUCUUUAAUUACAAAAAUUAAUAAUAAAUAAAAGAAUCCUAGUCAACAUGGACUCUUAUAAUUUAUCAAGAAGUUAUAAUUAAUUAUAAAUAAAGAAUAAACUACUUAAUUCUUUAAGUAUAAUUAAAAUCCUUCAAUAUUAUUUUAUCUCAAAACAAUAAUUAUCUUAAUAUAUAUUUUUCAUUUUAAGACAACUCUUGCCUUAAAAAAAUAUUUAUCCAUUAAGACAAUUUUUCACUUCCCAAAAAAAAUAAUAUAAUUAAGACAUCUGUUGUCUUAAAUCAACACAUAUACUAUAUUCUAAAUUAAGACAACUCUUGUCUUAAUUAAGACAACAUACGUACCUUGUCUAAAUUAAGACAACUUGUCAUGACCCGAUACUCUCCUCGAGCCCGUAACAACCGUCGUGGUAUCCCGAUAGACAUUCAUUACCUUGAAUGCCGAUCAGGACCACGUAAGGUUUAAUAUAAGUAUCUCAUUUCCCCUUGAGUAACCGAUGUCGAAAAUCAUGUUCUAAAAGAUUUUUAAGUUGUUUCCAACUCAAAACAAAUAAAAUAAUAAUUUUUGUCUCACAGGAGUAUUUUAGUCAUUUUUCCUUAAUAAGUUCGAAACUGACUAAAAUGUAAUAUACAAGUACAAAACACAUAAUUCAUAAUCAAAAAUGAGUUUUAAAGUCUAAAAUCUUCAUUUAAAACAAAAUUAUGGUUAUUUGAAUAUAAUAAGAAAACAAAGGAAAUAUUAAGUAAAAUAUUCUAUUUUCUUAUGAAAUAAUAUUUUUAGAGUUAUACGUAAAUAAUUUUUAGAGCGUAAAAGCUAAAUAAAUUUAUACAUACUGUAAUACAGUAAGCUAAAAUAUUUAAUUUAAUUUACAAUAACAAGAAGGCCCCCGAAUAAAUAAAAGUAAAGAGGACUGUGAACCUACAGUUUGAAAAAUGCAGAUCCAACGGUAGUCCUCAAUGAGAUCAGCUAUCUACAGUCUAUACUGAACCUGAAAUGGAUGCAAAUGAGGGUGGUGAGAUUAUAAAAUCCCAAUGAGUAAACAGUUAUCAUCAUAAACAUCUAGAGUUGAGUACAUGGAGACAAUAAAGUAAAUCAUCGUAAACUGGGUCACAGCAUUAGAACACAUUUCAUUCAAUAUACGUAAAGAGGCUUAUGAAUCUCAUAAAAACUAGGCUUGUGCCAUAAAUCUAUUCUCCGAGACACAUUGGCCAAGGCAUCCUACCGAGACUGCCAAGGCUGUUAAAAAUUCACAUGCACGUAAAACAUAUUUUUAAUUUGAGAAAAAUAUAGCCGUUCCUUGACGUUGGCUGAGUUCCCCUCACGUGGUGGUUUAGCGUAAAGUGAACCUUAAGCUUUACCCAAGGAGAUACCCUACGCGCCUUUCCGUUCGAGGUAAGAAUAUAAUGGGGUUUACCGUGCCUCUCUAAAAGGAUGGUCCACAGAAACCUCUUACUGCAGUGAUUAAUUAAUAUAUAAUUCAUCAUAUAAUAAAAUUUUGACAGCAUGACAAGGCUAAUGAAAUACUACCCAGCCUGCAAGGGUAAAAUAAAACAACUCAUACAAUUCAUAAAACGCAGCCCAGCCAGUCAUGCCAACACAAUAACAAUAUAACAUAAGCCAUCAAUUUAAACAAUCAAAUUUUCACAAUUAACAGUCUCUGUGUACUCUAUUUUUCAAAAUCAUUAUUAAUUUCAAAACAAUUUAUAAAUUAAUUUCAUUGGAACACCUUUAUUCAUAAAACAUGAAAAUUUACCUUUUUAAAUCCAUUUUUCUAUAGAAUUCAUGAAAUCAUCGAAAAAUCACCCUAGAUAAUUAAAAUGACAGUAAGUUUACUCACUAUGUCUAGAGUGCAGAUUCUCGAAAUACUCAGACUACUGGUGCUCGGGUGUAAUUCCCUUGCCUUUAUCGGACGACUCACCACCUUGACAUAGUACAAAAUUGAGAAAUUCACCACAUUGGUACUAAAUCAAAAUUAAACUAAUUUAGACUACUAAUGCAUGAUAUGGAAUGCAAAAUGCACUAAUAACCAUCUAUAUUUUGGUACUGGCCAAAUUCGUCUUAUCACCCGAUUAAUUACUAACGCGUCCAAUUUAAUCCCAAAUUACUCCUUUUCUUUUCUAAUACCUCAAUUCACCAAACAUUAUUCAAAUAACAUCAAUUUUCAGCAUCAAAACCAUCCCAUUUCUUCAUGGAAAAAUUCGGCCAUUACAGUGCACUAACACCGUGAUUUUUCCUACUUAAUUUUCUCACCAUUAUUCAUCAUUUUCUAAGCCAUUUCUCUUGAAAUAAUAACAAUCCAUCACCCACACACAUNNNNNNNNNNNNNNNNNNNNNNNNNNNNNNNNNNNNNNNNNNNNNNNNNNNNNNNNNNNNNNNNNNNNNNNNNNNNNNNNNNNNNNNNNNNNNNNNNNNNNNNNNNNNNNNNNNNNNNNNNNNNNNNNNNNNNNNNNNNNNNNNNNNNNNNNNNNNNNNNNNNNNNNNNNNNNNNNNNNNNNNNNNNNNNNNNNNNNNNNNNNNNNNNNNNNNNNNNNNNNNNNNNNNNNNNNNNNNNNNNNNNNNNNNNNNNNNNNNNNNNNNNNNNNNNNNNNNNNNNNNNNNNNNNNNNNNNNNNNNNNNNNNNNNNNNNNNNNNNNNNNNNNNNNNNNNNNNNNNNNNNNNNNNNNNNNNNNNNNNNNNNNNNNNNNNNNNNNNNNNNNNNNNNNNNNNNNNNNNNNNNNNNNNNNNNNNNNNNNNNNNNNNNNNNNNNNNNNNNNNNNNNNNNNNNNNNNNNNNNNNNNNNNNNNNNNNNNNNNNNNNNNNNNNNNNNNNNNNNNNNNNNNNNNNNNNNNNNNNNNNNNNNNNNNNNNNNNNNNNNNNNNNNNNNNNNNNNNNNNNNNNNNNNNNNNNNNNNNNNNNNNNNNNNNNNNNNNNNNNNNNNNNNNNNNNNNNNNNNNNNNNNNNNNNNNNNNNNNNNNNNNNNNNNNNNNNNNNNNNNNNNNNNNNNNNNNNNNNNNNNNNNNNNNNNNNNNNNNNNNNNNNNNNNNNNNNNNNNNNNNNNNNNNNNNNNNNNNNNNNNNNNNNNNNNNNNNNNNNNNNNNNNNNNNNNNNNNNNNNNNNNNNNNNNNNNNNNNNNNNNNNNNNNNNNNNNNNNNNNNNNNNNNNNNNNNNNNNNNNNNNNNNNNNNNUACCUCUAGGUACAAUACCGACUUUUGUAAAUUUUUCGGGACUCUCCUAGCAUGCAAACAUGCUAUCCAUCACAUGUAUGUCAUGACAAGUAUUUUAUAAGGUCGGGCUUUACAGCACUACGCCUCUUAAAAUAAAAUUUUGACCUCAAAAUUUCACUUACCAGAUUCGAAGAAAAGAUGUGGGUAUUGGCUUCUCAUCUAACGCUCGACUUCCCACGUCAUCUCUUCCAUUCGAGCAUUAUUCCACAACACUUUAACCAUUGGGAUGCUCUUGUUCCUCAACACUCGAUCCUUUCGAUCUAGAAUACAUACAGAUUGCACUUCGAACUUCAAAUCUUCAUGCAACUCAAUCGGUGGUGUCUUUAAAUUGUGGGAGGGAUCGGGAACAUACUUUUUCAACAUCGAGACGUGGAAGACAUUAUGAAUCCGAUCUAACUCCGGGAGUAAUUCAAGUCUGUAAGCCACUGGCCCAAUCCUUUCAAUGAUACGAAAGGGUCAAAUGUAUCUCGGAUUAAGCUUUCCCCGCUUCGCGAAUCGAAUCACACCUUUUAUUACCCAAUAAAAUACCACAAUUCAUCAUAAUAAUAUAAUCGAAUAAGAUUUAAUAUUUCAAAAUUUUCAAAUUAUUACCUUUCCAAGGAGAAACCUUAAGAAAAACUUUAUCGUCGACUUCAAACUCCAAAUCUUUCCUUCGUUUAUCAGAAUAACUCUUCUCCCUAUCUUGAGCUAUCUUUAACCGUUCUCUGAUAACCUUGAUUUUGUCAUUUGUCAGAUCAAUCAAUUCCACAUUAAACAAUUUCCUCUCUCCCACUUCAUCCCAACAGAGCGGAGUUCAACACUUCCUUCCAUACAAAGCCUCGUAUGGUGCCAUCCCAAUACUAUACUGAAAACUGUUAUUAUACACGAACUCCACCAGUGGCAAGUGUUUGUCCGAACUCCCAAUGAAGUCAAUGACACAAGCCCGUUACAUAUCCUCCAAGGUAUGAAUAGUUCUCUCAGAUUGACCAUCAGUCUGUAAAUGAAAGGCAGUACUAAAUCUCAAUUUAGUUUCGAGAGCUUCUUGAAAUUUUGGUCAAAAUCGAGAAGUAAAUCGAGGGUCUCGAUUUGACACAAUAGAAACUGGAACUCCAUGUAGUCUCAAAAUCUCAUCUAUAUAAAGUUUCGCCAGUUUCUCAACAGAAUACGUGCUAUGGAUAGCCAAGAAAUGGGCGGACUUAGUCAAUCUAUCCACAAUCACCCAAAUAGCAUCCUUCCCACUCUGUGUCCGCGGUAAACCCAAUACAAAGUCCAUAGUCACGUGUUCCCACUUCCAUUCAGGAAUCGGUAAAGGCUGAAGAGUACCUGAUGGUUUUUGAUGUUCCGCCUUAAUCUGUUGGCAUGUGAGACAUUUUGCUACAAACUCUGCUAUGUCUCGUUUCAUACCCACCUUUCUUUAAUAGUCCGGUACAUCUUGGUGCUUUCAGGAUGUAAAGCGUAGGUGGAAGAAUGAGCUUCUUCCAAAAUAGCUCGUCUCAACUAGUCAUCUUUAGGAACAUAAAUCCGGUCUCUAAGCAUCAAGGUACCAUCAUCACUGAGUCUAAACUCACUAGUUUCUCCAUCUUGUAGCUUUUGAACUUCCUGUUUCAACCAAUCAUCAGAUUUCUGUAAUUCUCUAAUUUGAUUCAACAAUGAAGGUCUCACAACGAAACUAACAAGUAGGGUUCCAUCCUCACCAUUAUUCAACUGGAUCCCUAGAGAUUUCAUCUCAAGUAAUAUCAAAAAAUAAGAACUCUGAAGUACAGCUAAUGAAGAUGAGGAUUUACGACUUAAAGCAUCCGCUACAACAUUGGCCUUCCCCGGAUGGUAAUCAAUUACUAAGUCAUAAUCCUUGAUCAACUCCAACCAUCGUCUCUGUCUCACGUUAAGCUUUUUCUGGGUGAACAAAUAUUUCAAACUCUUAUGAUCAGUAAAAAUCUGACAACACUCACCAUAUAAAUAAUGUCUCCAAAUCUUCAAUGCGAAGACUACUGCUGCUAACUCCAAGUCAUGAGUAGGGUAAUUCGUCUCAUGCUUCUUCAACUGUCGGGAAGCAUAAGCUAUUACUUUCUCAUCCUGCAUCAAUACACACCCUAAUCCUAACUUAGAUGCAUCACUGCACACCACAAAUUCUUUUCCAUUUAUAGGAAGUGUUAAAACGGGAGCGGAGGUUAACCGAUUCUUUAGCUCCUGAAAUCAAUUCUCAUAAACAUCAUCCCACUCAAACUUAACUCCUUUACGAGUUAAACGAGUCAAAGGAGCUGCUAUCAAUGAAAAUCCCUGAACAAACCUCUGAUAAUAACCAACUAAGCCAAGAAAACUAUGAAUCUCAGUUACUGUUCUUGGCUGCUCCCAUUGUAAGAUUGCUUCAAUCUUUUUGUGAUCGACAUAAAUUCCAGCUCCGGACACCACAUGUCCCAAGAAAACCACUUCCUUUAACCAGAACUCACAUUUAGAGAACUUGGCAUAGAGUUGUCUCUCGCGCAAAGUUUGCAACAUAAUGCGUAAAUGGACAGCAUGUUCAUCAUCAUUUUUCGAAUAAACCAGGAUGUCAUCUAUGAAUACUAUCACGAACUUAUCUAAGUAUGGAUGAAACACCCUGUUCAUAAGAUCCAUAAAAACUGACGAGGCAUUAGUGAAACCAAACAGCAUCACCAGAAACUCAUAAUGCCCAUAACGCGUCCUAAAAGCAGUCUUGGGUACAUCUUGCUCCCUAAUCUUCAACUGAUAGUACCCAGAUCUCAAAUCAAUCUUAGAAAACACCAUAGCACCUCGUAAUUGAUCAAAAAGAUCAUCAAUCCGGGGUAAAGGGUAUUUAUUCUUGAUGGUCACUCGGUUCAGCUGAUGAUAAUCAAUACAUAAUCGAAGAGUGUCAUCCUUCUUCUUUACAAAUAGGACUGGUGGUCCCCAAGGAGAAGUGCUAGGGCGAAUGAAACCCUUAUCCACCAAAUCUUGCAACUAGACUUUUAGUUCUUUCAACUCCAUCAGAGCCAUUCGAUAUGGAGGGAUAGAAAUAGGUGCAGUACUCGAAAAUAAUUCAAUAGGGAACUCAAGCUCUCGAUCAGGAGGUAGUCUCGGUAAAUCAUUAGGAAAUACAUCAGGAAACUCACUUACUAUUGGGACAUCCUCUAACUUAGGUUCCCCCUUUGAAGUAUCGAUCAUGUGAGCCAAAUAAGCUAGAUACCCUUUCUGCACUAGUUUAAAAGCUUUGAUGGCCGAGAUUACACAGGACGGUAAUACUCGACGUUCCCUUGUAAAUACAAUCUCUGCUCCCUCCGAAUUCCUAAGAACAACUUCUUUCCUAAAACAAUCCACAUUCGCCAAAUGUGCAGUUAACCAAUCCAUACCCAAUAUCAAAUCAAAACCUUGGAUCUCUAGAGGAAUCAAGUCACCUCUAAAUUCUUCCUCACUAACAAUUACUCCACAAUCUCUAUAACAACUGUUUCUAACUAGCUUUUCUCCUAAAGGGGUGUAAAUUACAAUUUCCUCCUCUAAUGGUGACAAGUUUCUAUCAACAAUUGAUGCAAAUGCUAUACUCACAUAAGACUUAUCUGAGCCAGAAUUUAUCAAAACAUAAGCAUCUUUAUCAAAUAAAGACAUAGUACCUGUCACUGCUCCAAGUCGAACCCGUGCCUCAUCUUUCGUGACUGCGAAAACUCUUGUUGAAGUACGAGUCUGUGGUUUCGAAAGUGGAUGUGCCGGGGUAUUACCUUCCACACCGAACCGUCUGGCUACUCCCUGUCUCGAUGGUAACCCAGAAGAAUCUCUCCUCUGCAUAUCAGUGCAAGUUAGUGGAGAUGAUGCAGCUACAGUGGCUUGUCCUAACUGUGGGCAAUUACUCCUAAUAUGACCCGACUGACCACAAUGAAAACAUCGCGUAGGCCCUCUACAUAGCCCAACAUGAUAAUUUCCACAAUUUUUGCAUUUAUCAGAACCUCCAAAACUCUUCUCAGAACCAGUCAUAGCAGAUUUGCUAAACUUCGAAGGUCUCUGCUGUGAUGGUGGAAUGAAGGACGAGGAGAUAUCACUGAAACAGAAGUAGUGCUCCUUGAAGCCACUGAGUCCUUGCCUCUCUUUGGUGGUUGACUAAAAGAUACACUCGAAUUUUUCCUCUUUACAAACUCAGUCUGAAUCUUCAUAUUUUCAUUUGCAAGCUUUUCAGCCCGUAUAGCCAUCUGUACCACCUCUUUAUGUGGCUCCCUACCAGUCACUAUCAUCCACUCUCUAAUCUCAUUACGGCACCCUUCCUCGAAAUAACUGGCUUGAUCCUGCUCAGAUUUCACCAGAUCCGGCACAUAUAACAUUAACUAGUUAAAACGAGUCUCGUACUUCUCUAUAGUUAGAUUCCCCUAUUUGAAGCUCAGAAAUUCUCUUUUCUUUUCUUUUUGAUGAAAGUAAGUGAAAUACUGACCAUCGAAUUCCCUGAGAAAGUCAAACCAUGUCUGAGGAGUAGUGGAACGAGAUUUCACCAAGUUCCACCAGGUACGAGCCUUCUUCUCUAAUGAUCUCGUAGCCACCAUCAACUUCAUGUCGUCGUCUAAUCUCAUAUCAAAGAGAGUCUCUGAAACCUGAUUAAUCUAGUCCUUUGCCAUAGUGGCAUCCAACUCACCCGUGAAAGACACACAACCCAAUUGCCUAGCCUCUUUCAGCUUCUUGGAAAUGGAUACAUCUUGUACUGGCGGAACUGAAGAAGUAGCUGAAGGCAUUAUAGGUGGAACCUUACCAGUCUGAGCUUGACAAGCAAUUACGGUAAAGAAAGCUGCCAAUGCUUGUGCUGCCUCAAUAGGCAUGGCGGGAAUACCAGAAGGUGGCGGAGGAGAUGGAGGAUGUGGAGGACUAUCGGCCUACUCAGCAAUAGAUGUUGCCCGAAUAGUGGAUGCAGCCAAUUCCUCUCCUAUUGCAUCUGGCUGACGACGUUGAAAACGACCUCUUCCCCUCCCAACUGAUUUAGUGAAAAGUGGGCAUCCGCAUCAAGGAGGCAUUAUAAUCUAUAAAAGAAUACGAGCAAGUUUAGGCAACCUUAAGCUCUAUAUGCAGAUGCAUGCAUUCUAUUCAACCUAACUUAACUUAAUCCGGGGCCACACUGAUACUGUAAAUUUUUGAAAUAACUUUAGAACCAAAAAAUCUGAUCUUUAAAACCAAAAACUUUGAUACCAAUCGAAUUGUCACGACCCGGUACUCUCCUCAAGCCCGUAACAACUCCCGCGGUAUCCCAAUAGACAUUCAUUACCUUAAAUGCUGACCAAGACUCCGCAAGGCUUAAUAUCAGUAUCUCAUUUCCCCCGUGAGUAACCGUUGUCGAAAAUCAUGUUCUACAAGAUUUUUAAGUUGUUUCCAACUCAAAACAAAUAAAAUAAUAAUUUUUGUCUCACAAGGGUAUUUUAGUCAUUUUUCCCCAAUAAGUUCGAAACCGGCUAAAAUGUAAUAUACAAGUACAAAACACAUAAUUCAUAAUCAAAAAUGAGUUUUAAAGUCUAAAAUCUUCAUUUAAAACGAAAUUAUGGUUAUUUGAAUAUAAUAAGAAAAUAAAGGAAAUAUUAAGUAAAAUAUUCUAUUUUCUUAUGAAAUAAUAUUUUUAGAGUUAUACGUAAAUAAUUUUUGGAGCGUAAAAGCUAAAUAAAUUUAUACAUACUGUAAUACAGUAAGCCAAAAUAUUUAAUUUAAUUUACAAUAGCAAGAGGGCCCCCGAAUAAACAAAAGUAAAGAGGACUGUGAACCUACAGUUUGGAAAAUGCAAAUCCAACGGUAGUCCUCAAUGAGAUCAGCUAUCUGUAGUUUAUACUGAACCUGAAAUGGAUGGAAAGGAGGGUGGUGAGAUUAUAAAAUCUCAAUGAGUAAACAGACAUCAUCAUAAACAUGUAGAGUUGAGUACAUGGAGACAAUAAAGUAAAUCAUCGUAACUGGGUCACAGCAUUAGAACACAUUUCAUUCAAUAUACGUAAAGAGGCUUAUGAAUCUCAUAAAAGCUAGGCUUGUGCCAUAAAUCCAUUCUCGGAGACACCUUGGCCAAGGCAUCCUACCGAGAUCGCCAAGGCUGUUAAAAAUUCACAUACACGUAAAACAUAUUUUUAGUUUGAGAAAAAUACAGCCAUUCCUUGGCGUUGGCUGAGUUCCCCCUCACGUGGUGGUUUGGCGUGAAGUGAACCCUCAGCUUUACCCUAGUAGAUACCCUACGCACCUCUCCUUUCGAAGUAAGAAUAUAAUGGGGUUUACUGUGCCCCUCUAAAAGGAUGGUCCACAGAAACCCCCUACUGUAGUGAUUAAUUAAUAUAUAAUCCAUCAUAUAAUAAAAUUUUGACAGCAUGACAGGGCUAAUGAAAUACUACCCGGCCUGCAAGGGUAAAAUAAAACAACUCAUACAAUUCAUAAAACGCAGCCCAGCCAGUCAUGCCAACACAAUAACAAUAUAACAUAAGCCAUCAAUUUAAACAAUCAAAUUGCCACAAUUAACAGUCUCCGUGUACUCUAUUUUUCAAAAUCAUUAUUAAUUUCAAAACAAUUUAUAAAUUAAUUUUAUUGGAGCACCUUUAUUCAUAAAACAUGAAAAUUUACCUUUUUAAAUCCAUUUUUCCAUAGAAUUCAUGAAAUCAUCUAAAAAUCACCCUAGAUAAUUAAAAUGACAGUAAGUUUACUCACUAUGUCUAGAGUGCAGAUUCUUGAAAUGCUCAGACUACUAGUCCUCAAGUGUAAUUCCCUUACCUUUAUUGGACAACUCACCACCUUGACAUAGUACAAAAUCGAGAAAUUCACCACAUUGGUACUAAAUCAAAAUUAAACUAACUUAGACUUCUAAUGCAUUAUAUGGAAUGCAAAAUGCACUAAUAACCAUAUAAAUUUCGGUACCAACCAAAUUCGUCUUCUCACUCGAUUAAUUACUAACGCGUCCAAUUUAAUCCCAAAUUACUCCAUUUCUUUUCUAAUACCUCAAUUCACCAAACAUUAUUCAAAUAACAUCAAUUUUCAGCAUCAAAACCCUCUCAUUUCUUCAUGCAAAAAUUCAGUCAUUACAGUGCACUAACACCAUGGAUUUUCCUACUUAAUUUUUUCACCAUUAUUCAUCAUUUUCUAAGCCAUUUCUCUUGAAAUAAUAACAAUCCAUCACCCACACACAUCAAGGAAGAUUCGGCCAAUGAAGAUUCAUGGGGAAAAUGGAUUCUUUUCUUGUUAUUUUGUCUCUAAAUAUGCUAAACUAACUAAAAACACUAACAUAUCUUAAAAUCAAAUCAAUCCAACAUCUUUCUCUCUCCUAACCCAUUUUGACCAGCCAUGAAUUCAUCAUGAAAACAUGUAAUUUAAGCAUGGAAAAUAAGGAGAAAUGCUUAAGGAAAAUAGAUUUCAAGCUUAAGUUGAAAAAUCCUACCUUUUUCACUUGUUUCUCUUGAUUUUCCACACUUUUUCUCUUGAAAUUCUUCACCUAGGGUUUGUUCUUUCUUUCUUUCCCUCUCUUCCUUUCUUGGCCGAAUAUUUGGAGAGUAAUGGGCUGAUUUAUGCUGAUUUUUAAGUUAAAUAAUAAAAUAUCCUAAGCUUGACACUUAUCAUUUUCUUAUUGGUCCAUUUUUAAAACUUUAAAAAUUUUAAACCUUUUUAUCUCCACCACAUGAUUAGUCAAAGGUCAAAAUGAGGAUAAGGGAAGACCAUGUGCUGGACAAAUGUCCUAGUGGUGGAAAAUUACUGUUUUGCCCUUAGGGUGGUAAAAUUACCAUUUUACCCCUAUGCUCCGAAAAAUACCGUGAUUACAAUUUUUUUUUCAUUUCUCAACCUCAAAUCAUACUCCAAUACUCAAAUCAUACUCCAAUAAGUCAAAUGGGGCCAAAAAAAUCUUUUUUAAAAAUUUUCAAUUUAUCCCCAAGUGGCAAAUGACCAUUUUGCCCCUAAAUAGCGAAAAUUUUGGUUUGACUCCAAAUUGAUCCUCAAACUCCGAAUUACCAUUUUGAGUCAUUCCUGAACUGUGAGGCUCUUAAUUUCACCUUAAACUUCCUAUUUGAUCUAGUUCGAGGCUUAAAUCAACUUUGUUGUACCUCUAGGUACAAUACCGACUUUUGUAAAUUUUUCAGAACUCUCCUAGCAUGCAAACAUGCUAGCCAUCACAUGUAUGUCAUGACAAAUAUUUUAUAAGGUCGGGCUUUACAAAACUCUUGUCUUAAUUAAGACAAAAUGUAAAGUUACCAUUUUGAACAUAAAUUUAAAUAAUUAAAUAUAACAUGCAUUCCAACUUUAAACAAGUUGAAUUCUAUGGGGCAUCUAUUUAGACGUAGAUAUUCCAUACUCCAAUAAACUCCGAAUCACUCUUAAUCUCAUUAAGAUAAUUCAAGUUUAUUAACCAUAAAACCACUCCACCAUAUAUUCAUAGUUACACUCCUAGAUUAACUACAAUUACAAUAAAUGAUCCAAUAUUCAAUAUUCAAUAUCGAUUGUCCAAAUUGCUAACCUUAUGUUGUGAACUUUCAUAAGCAUCUAAUGAAAAAAAGUGAAAUUACUCUUUUACCCCUUAUGUUAAUUUAUCCCCUAUUAUUAAAUUUCAUCCAAUAGGCGAUCCAUUACUUUAGAUUUAAUCUUUUGAGUAUUAAGAUAUGAUGAGUAGCUAAUUCAUCAAUCCACUAAGUUCAGAUUAAUUACCAAUCUUCCUAAAAUCACUAGAAGUGAUGUUAAUGCUAUAAACUCCAUUUUUUGGAUGUAUGUUUCUAGAUGUUCACCUCAGUUAUAAUCCCAACAUACGGAGUCUAGAUCAACGCCAUAAGAUGAUCAUGCUCAUGGUAUAUCAAAUAUUAUAAGAAGAUGAAACAGAAGUCCACUAUCCAUCAGGAUUUCAAUUUUACCAUAAGCGAAUACAUAAGUAUAAGAUCAAAUAGACCCUGUAACCAAUUGGAUUGAUCAAAGCUUAGAUCCAAUCAUGCAAUCAUAUCAUUCAUGUUGAAUGAUUAAAGGUUUUCCUUCAUCAAUAAGACUAUGCUUCUAAGUCUACUAGAUGAAGUACAUGAGAUUAGCAUGCCUUGCAAGAGAAUUGUAAAAUGUUACAAUAAUGAGAUCCCUAUGCAUCAAAGCAUAAUCUCUAAAUCGUUCCUAGUCGAUGUAUCAAUGAGACUAGACAUCAAUUAUGCUUAAAGACUAAUACAUUCUAUGUUCCUUACUUCGAAAGUAAGUAACUGAUCUCAUAGGUUGAAGUAUAAAGAUAUAUGGAACUAUAAUGUAGGUGCUUGUUCUAGGAACAAGUUCACUGAAUAUGACCCAACAUGAUGAUUCCAUUUGGUAUUUCACUUUAGUGUCAAUGGAGUAUAUCCUCAUGUGACAGUCAUACAAGUGAUCCUAAGACUUGAGAUACCAAGUUGUUUUAUGUGUGAAGUGUUAUGCUUUGACUUCAUCUCUCCGGGUCUUAACCAAGGAUGCCUAAAAAAGAUUAACGUUGGGUAUAGCAUGAAACACAUGAAGGAAAAUGAGUGGUCAAGAUAUGCUUCAUUACUCCGAGUGAUUAAGGAGAUGUAUCUUGAUUGUUCAUAUCCUAAGUUAGCUUAUGUGAAGACUCUAGCCAAAGCACAAUGGAUUUUAGGAAAUGAGUUUCCUAUAAUCCAUGAUAGCUAAUCAGUGUUAUGAUUAAAAUGGAAAGUUUGGGAGUUGACACUGCACCAUGCUCUUAAGCUUUCUAAGGUACAUGAUGAAAGGAUUCAAUUGCACUGAGAGACUGAUCACUGAAAGGUUGAGUCAAACUAUCUUGACUCUUCUAACAUUUGGGUGGCCAUGAUGGAUUUAUAGAUCUUGCUCAUGGUUUAUGAUCAUAAAAUGGUUAAUGUGAUCAAUGAUAAAUUCAAAGUAGUUUGAAUUUAUUCAAUCCUAAAUUUAAUUUAAGGAUUACAUUUUUAGGUUAUUGCCAAUAUGUUGGAAGCCCAAUGGGUCACACACAAAAGGUGAAUAGUGAGAUUAAAUUGGGAAAGGUGAUUAAGUUGAACCUAAUCAAAAUUAAAAGUUACGAACUUUUAUUGAACUUAAUUAAAAGGUUUAAUUAAGUGCAAGGACCAAUUAGCAAUUACAUGGAAAAGUAAUUGGGGCUGAAAUUGGUCCAUGAUAUCAAUACCUCGCUUAAGCUACUCAUACAAGUAACCUAGCCUCCACUCAACACUAGUGAGUAGUGUAGCCACCACUUGUGAGUGUGUAAAGAGAAAAAAUUUGUUUUUCUCUUAUUCUUUUUGCUAAGGUGAAAGGAAAGGAAUGGUGUUUUAGAACACAUCCUUGCUAGCACAUUGAAAGCUUGGCAAUCUCACCCUCUUGUAGGGAUUUAUCCAUUCACUGUUGUUGGUCCCAAUUAAAUGUGUUAGAAGGGGGAUGAAUAGUACAAUUUGGCUCUUUCAAAAAUUAGCUCUAAGUGGGAACAAAUGCAAGAUAAAAGAAAGAAUGAAAAUAAAACAAAAACAGAGUAAAUAAGACAACAAAAUUUAGAGUGGUUCGGUCCAAAAUCUACAUCCACUACCUUGAUUAUCCAACCAAAGAUUUUUCAACCAAUCCACUAAGAACUGGUGAAAUUCACAAGCUUAACAAUGGCUUUUACCAGCUUAGCCAAAACCUUUCACAAUAGUUUUUCUCGAGCUCAACUAUAGCCCAACACCUAACUUUUCAAGGCUAAGUUAGAACCUUAAUACAAACAAGCAAUCCUAGCUUGAUUGAACCCCUUAGAGUGGCCCUUUCACUCUAAGAACAUAAAGAGAAAUGAAAAAGAAGUGUACCUAUGAUCACAAUGUUGAUCUAAGUGGUACAAGUUGAAGUGUAAAAUACAAUUACAAGGAUGGGCGUUGAGUGCAGUGAAGUGCAGAGGAUGUUUUCUAGUUUUUCAGCUCUUUUGUCUGUUCUUGGAAGCCUUCAAUACACUUCUAGCCAUUGGAACCCUCUUUUAUACUUGGAGAAACAACUAUGAUGGCAGUUUGACAGUUUUCUGGCCGUUGGAAAUAGUUGGGAGUUGGUUCUAGCCAUUAAUCUGUCUUUUAGUGUAGAAUUCAAACUUGCAGGCAAAAUGCUCUUAGUCGACUACCAGAUAUCUUAGUCGACUAAGUCGUCUCUGUCUUCUGUUCCCAGUUUCUGGUAGUUUUGGCAGUGUACACUUAGUCGACUAACUCAUUUCUUGGUCGACUAAGUUGGUUUUGUUUCUCAACACUCUUCAGCCCGUCAACUUUUGAUUUAAAUCUUAGCUGACUAACUCUUCAUUAAUCGACUAAGGAGCUUCUGUCUUGUUAAUCAAUUGUGGCUUCCUUAUUUCUAUGCUCUUUGAUAUGUGCAUUUUAAUGAUUGAUUAUUUAUUUGCAUAUAAAUUUUUUCCUGCACACUCAAGUAAAAAUAUUAGACACAAAUGAAAUGGGAAUGUUUUAUUAUCAUCAAAAACUAAUGGAGCCAACAACUGUGUGGACUUUCGUUAGAGGCUGCACAAGAAUUUCUUUGGCAGCUUUGGUUUGCAACAACUAGAAUUAGUAUGAGGUCUCUUGGAGGGGCUAUUUUGGUGGAGUUUAGAUAAGGAAUCAAACUUUCCUUUGUCCCUAAAUAAUGACCAAAUCACACAUGUGUGUUUUUUCAUUAUAUAUCAUCUAAAGAUCUUUUGAAAAUGACCUUGGGUGGAAAGGUCAAUAUUUAUUGAUAUUCUGCUACGUUUGUUUUAUUUAUUUUGGGUUUUAUGCAUUGUGAUGCAUGGCUAGCCCAUUCCCAUCAUAUUUAAGUAACAAUUAAACUUAUACUUGAUUCUCACGUGAUUCUAGUUCAAAUUAUAGUCUCAUUUCUCGAACUCAACUACUUCGAUGAUUUGAGACUCAUCAUUCCCUUGAAGUGAAUCACAUUCUUUACAUUGGAAGUAAUUUGAACACUAUAGCCUUAAAAUAAUAAAGUGACCAACUUUAUUAAAUGGCUAUGAACAAUUCAUAGACUCAAUUAAAAUAUAUGUCUCUUAUGUAUGACUCUUCACACAAAUGUAUUUUAAUAUCUCAAUAGAAUCAUGGUACAUUUAUAACUAGAAAAUUAAUGCUUGCUUAAAACAAACUCUUCGUCUUAUUAUCAAAAUGUACUUUCAUGACAAAUAAAUGAAUGGAAAUAAACGUGAAAAUAUACUUGUUUUCCAAAGCACCAUCUUCACAAAUUCCUAACAGCCUCACCUUCCCAGACUCAUCAAAUGCGUAAGAAUGCCUCUCAUUGACCUAUCAAUAGUUCUACCCUCCCUAUCAGAGUCAAAGCUUGCUUUGUUUCCCUCAUCCCCAUCACUACCAAUAUUAGAUAGCCUAUCAACAUCAUUAUCUUCUUCAACAUUGUCCUCAAAAUUGCCUUGAGAAUUGCCUUGAAACUGAUUUAUAUCUUCUUGCGUACUCUCACUCUCAAACAUUCAAUCUAUAUCGUCAUUGGAAAUAUCCACUUCUUCUGCCACAUUUGUGUCCCUCGAAUCAUUACUUGCAUCACUACUAACACAAACAAUCAACCAAACUUCCUUUCUCAACUCUACCACUGCCUCUCCCACUAUCAAUAUCAAUAGACCCUCUACCACUAGAACUUCUUUCCCCAACUCUAAGUCUGCAUGUCCCUAAACCAAAACCUACCAUUCUAUCAGCAUUCAGAUUUACAUCAACAUUAACUUUUACUUUAGCAACAACAUUUACACCAACAUUUACAUCUAUAGUAUCAUCAACAGUUACAGUAUCAUCAACAACAUGCACAUUUCCAAUCUACCAAUUCACAUAGUCAAAAUACUUACCUGGGUUAAGAUUAAUUUCUAUAGCGGAUUGCAAGUACAAGGUCCAACUAUAGAUGGAUCUCCUUGGCACCUUCAUACAUUUCUAAUAGCUUGAGAACAUCUUCAUCAAACAUUAACUCAAAUACCUCAUUUGAUUUAGGAUGCUGUACAUUAAUUAAGACACUCAUUCCUAUUCCAAAAGUUGAAUCAUCAACCAUACCUUCAAAUAUGUCAUUCACCAACUCUAUGUACAAGUAUCUAUCGAGAUCAACAUUCCGUAUUGUUAGAACCUCACACUUAUGGUGCACCACCAAGUCAUAGAAAUUGUCAACCAUGUCUAGACCUUAAAAACAAAUUACAAUAGCUUAACUGACCUAAAAUGCUUAACCAAAACCCCAUUCCCUAACCAUAACCAAAAUACAACCAAUUUCACAUAUGGGUUGAAACCUCAAAUUAUAAUCGAUUAAGAUUCCCAAAGGAGUAGUGUUGCCAACAGGGGUAACUUCCACAACUCUGGUUUUAUUACCAAAAAAAUCGAAUGCAAUGCAAUUCAGGGAUUUCCUUCUAAUUAUCUUGUGCAUUGUCCUCAACAAAAUAGUCACUAAGCUCCUAGCAAACCGUUUAUCUACAGUUUUGCCUUUCUUGAUAAUUGAAAACCAGAAUGGCUUUGUGAGUGGUAGACUAAUCAGUGACAAUAUACUUUUGACCCAUGAGCUGAUUGGUAAACUAGACCAUGAAUCAAAAAGAGGUAAUGUUGUUUUUAAACUAGAUAUGAUGAAAGCCUAUGACUGAUUACACUGAGAUUUUUUAUAUUUGAUGAUGGAGAAAUUUGGUUUUAAUGCUCAGUGAAUAGAUAUGAUUAAACAUUGCAUUUUGAAUUGUUGGUUCUCUUUAUUGAUUAACGAACAUUUGAUUGGGUAUUUCAAAUCAGAGAAAGGCCUACGAUAAGGGGAUGCAAUCUCAUCGUUAUUAUUCAUUCUAGUUGCUGAAUAUUUAUCGAGUGGCUUAAAUAAUUUAUUCUCUCAAUCCUGCUCAUUGCACUAUCAAUCAGGAUGUUCUAUAAAUAUCAGUCAUUUUACUUUUACAGAUGAUGUCAUGAUUUUCACUAAUGGAAGCAAAGCCGUUUUGUAGAAAGUGCUAAUGUUUUUGCAAGAAUAUGAACAAAAUUUAGGGCAGAAGUUUAAUCCUAGCAAAAGUUGCUUCAUUACAGCAAAUAAUAUGGCCUACUCGAGAUGUCAGAUUAUAACUUAAGCCACGGGAUUUCAACAGCAAACGUUACCUAUCACGUAUCUGAGGGCUCCCCUAUACAAAAGACCAAAAAAGGUAUUGCUCUUUGAUUCCCUUAUUAAUAAGAUCUAAGAUCGCAUUACCGGUUGGGAAAACAAGAUCUUGUCUCCAGGAGGGCACAUUACUCUAUUAAGGAGUGUACUAUCACCCUAGCAGAUUUAUUUGCUUUAAGUGCUAAAGCUGCCAAUGAUAGUAAUUAAGAGAAUUAAGAGACUUUUUAAUGCCUUUAUUUGGGGAGGAUCGCUUGACAGCUAAAAGAUGCAUUGGACGGCAUGGGGAAAAAUAGCUUUACCAAGUUCUAAAUGCGGUUUGGACAUUCGUAGUUUGUCUAAUUUUUGAGGCUUUCACUGCAAAACUUUGCUGGCGAUUUCAAACUUGUAGUAACUUGUGGACUUAGUAUAUGAGAGCUAAAUAUUGUACUGGCCAAAUUCCUCACACAAUCAUUUCCUAAAACACAUGAUUCACAUACAUGGAAGCGAAUGAUUAUUGGGAGAGACAAAAUUAGGCAACAGAUAAGAUGGCAGAUUGGUAAGGGUGAAUUGCUUUCUGGCAUGAUGUUUGGUUGGGUGAUGAGCCACUGGUAAACUCUUUCCCUACAUUUUCUCAUUCCAUGAUUAAAGUUAAUUAUGUUUUCCAUUAUAAUGAGUGGGAUGUGGAUAAGCUUAGAGCUGUAUUACCAGCUACUAUAAUUAAUGAGAUAUUGAAAGUUCCUAUUAGUUGUACACAAGAGGAUUUGGCAUACUAGGCCCUCACCCUAAAUGGAGAAUUCACAACCAACAGUGCAUGGGAACUGCUUCGCCAAAGACAAUUUAUACACCCAUUGGGUAAGAUUAUUUGGCAUACGAGCAUCACACUUACUAUUUCCUUUUUCUUAUGGUGCCUGGUGCAUAAUUGGAUUCUUAUGCAGUUACAGAUGAAAUCAAAAGGCCUCAAGUUAGCAUCAAAGUGUCUAUGUUGCUGGUCGAAGGAAACGGUUAUCCAUGUACUAUGGGAAGGUCCGGUUCAACAACAGGUUUGGAAUUAUUUUUCAAAAUUAUUUCAAAUCUAUGUUCACACUCCCAUAAAUGUAAUGCAAAUUAUUCACUCUUGGUAUUAUUCUGGGGAUUAUACUAAACCUAGUCAUAUUCGAAUAUUAUUGCCUUUGCUGAUUUCUUAGCUUCUUUUGGUUGAAAGAAAUGAUGCAAAGCAUAGGGGACUCGGAAUCUAUCCUAAGAGAGUUAUUUGGUGGACUAUGAAAAUGUUACGACAACUUUUUCAGGGUAAUUUGUUAUGUAAAUGGCAAUGGAGAUGAGAUCUUGAUAUUACUACUCAUUGGGGUUAUCGGUUUGAACGGAAGAGCCAUGAUCUGCCAAAAAUUAUUUAUUAGUAUCGUCCAUUGAUAGGUGAGUUUAAAUUGAAUGUCGAUGGUAGUUCCAAAGAUGCCUUUCAAAAUGCCACUAGUAGAGGACUUCUUCGGGACCACACAAGUACUAUGAUUUUUGGCUUUUCUGAAAACUUUGGACCUUUUAAUUCAUUACAGGCAAAGUUAAUGGCAUUACAUCGAGGUUUGCUUUUAUGUAUUGAGUACAAUGUAUCUAGAGUUUGGAUUGAAAUGGAUGCAAACGUGGUUGUACAAAUUAUACAUGAGGGACAUAAAGGUUCCUCUCAGACUCGAUAUUUGCUAGCCUCCAUCCGAAAAUGCUUGAGUUGUAUUUCUUUCCAAAUUUCACACAUACAUAGAGAAGGAAACCAGGUAGUAGAUCAUCUCUUCAAUCAGGGGUAUACACACCAAAACCUGCAUGUAUUUUCACAAGUCGAAGGUGAGCUCAAAUGAAUUCUUAGAUUAGACAAAUUAAAUUUACCGUAUGUUUGCUUUAAAUAAAGGUAAAGAAGUAGUACUCCUAAUUUACAGUUUCAAUGUUUUCAUAGAAUCUUGUACUAAAGUAAUAUUACUUUCCAUAUGCAUUCUAAAUAACUAUGCUUGGGAAGUACUAUCUUUACUAGGUGCAAUUUUUAUUUUCGAUCAUGGUUUUCAUGUAACUUUGAAGGUACGGUUUAGGCCCCCCUCCUUUUGUACCUUUAUUUUGAAUUAAUAAAAUUUAACAGGGUAACUGGGCCCUGCGAGAACUUUCAGAAUUAAAAACAACCCAAAUUCGAAUCGAUUAAGGUGAAGGUUUGGGUUUGGGUUCUAGGUUACAACCUAAACUCAAACUCUAACCAAAAUACCACCCAUAGAACCCAUUUUUCACAAAGGGUGAAACCCCCAAAAAAACCUUGACCCUAACCUUAACCAUACACCCAAAAUCCAACUCAAAAUAAAAACAAAUGCUUACCACAAAAGCACAACACCAGAAUCAAUGCAUAACAAUACUUAAUCAAUGAACAAACCUCGAGUUUUCACUCUCAAUCUUUAAUCCAAUUUAAGGGUUUUAGAAAAUCAAACAAAUUUAAGGUAAUCGAUGAACAAAUUCAUUGAAGGCAUUUUGGCUUUCAGACAAAAAUUUUAAUCGGUUAACUAAUUUGAAAACCUUAAAAAACCCUAACAUUAAUCGAUUGUUGGCUAGAAAGGAUGAAUAGAUGCAAAGUGGUGUAUAAUGGGUAGUGAGAAGUAAUUCUGCUUCCAACAGACGCAAUUACGGCAUACUUACACAAUAGGCAUUUAGUCAUUUCACAUUAUCCGUUAAUAGCGUUUACACUUUUGAGGCGGACUAUGUAUUUCUCAUACUAAUGGAUCCGCACUAAAUUGUGGUCAAAACCUAAAAGACAAGGGUAAUUUACCCUUUUAAUAAACAUAUAACAUCAAUAACUUGAAUUCAACAUAUAUUUUUAUUUCAUAACAUAAUUAUGGAUGGAUGUGGAUAUGGAUAAUUAUGUACUUUAAAUGUGGACGAUGUAUGGUUUUAUUUUUCAUGAUAUUUUUGAAAUAGGAAUUGCAAGCCUUGCCUUUCUCUAUAUAUUUCUCUAGGGUUCUCUUUUAUUUAUUGUCAAGUUAACUUGUACUUAAAUCUUAUAUAUAUUUCUUAAAUUAUUGUUUUCCCAUUUUUAUUUAUUUAAUUUUUAUUUUGAAAAAGAUUUGGAAACAAUCUAAUGCAUUCCCCUUUUAGAUUAUUUUCUACUUUUAAGCUAACAAAUAAUAAUCAAAGUAGUAAUUUACCUAAUACAUAAAUAAAUUAUUGAUUUUUGAGGACAUAUGUAGAGGUUCUUUUUUCUUUUUCUGAAUAGCAACAUAUGUAGAGUUGAAAUACUUGAUUCGAACUCGAGAAACUCAUCUGACCUGAAUUGAUUUGACAAGCAAAAUUCAACCCAAACACGCCAACUUGAAAAAAAACAAUUUGAAUUCGAACUAUUCUAAAUUAUUAGAAUUCAAAUAACUCGUACAAAUUUGAAAAAAUCAAUAACUUGGACUCGACAUGAUUGGAAUUCUAAAUACUCGAGUGCUAAACUUGAAUAACUCAAAUCUAAAAGGAUCCAAAUUUCUUUUGAUCCAAAAUCACACAAUUCAAACCCGACCUGACCCAUCAAAUUGCCAAUUGCAUAAGUCUAAUAGAUGCCACGAUUAAUAAACGAUUUGUGCCAAUGAAGCUGUCAAUUCCAAAUGAAAAAAAAAAAAAAUUAGAAUUCACUUAUGAAAUUGGAUCCAACCUUUAACCAUGGAUCAGUCUUGGAUAAGGGGAAGUAGCCAUGUUAUGUUGGUUUUUGACAGAAUAUAUCAACUAGCUAAUUCUUUUCAAAAUUGGAAGAAAAAAAUUGUUUUGAAUCUGGCUCUUUUGAGUAUAAGAAUACAUGCAACUACCUUUUGACCAAGCCAACUGUUUGAUCCUUGAAAACCCAUGCUUUGAUUUAAAAAAAGGCAUUUUCUUACCAUAGAUCAAAAGAUCUAAGGUGACUGCUUGCAUUUAAUUUGAUUUACAUGGAUAUUUAAAUUUGAGUAAUAGUUGUUACCAUUAAAAUAAAUACUUUAUACAGAUAUAUGACUGGUCCGUACAGGAAAAACAAAUGGAACUGCCAUUCACAGCUUCUGGAAACAUGAUGAUUGUACCUAACUUUGCAUUUGCAAUAAGUAAGUACAUGAAACAUGAUGAGUGUGAAUGCAAUACUUUAUCUUCAAAGGAGACUUCCGAUGUUAAUAUUAGAAAUUCUAUCUUAAAAGUUGUAGCUUCUAAUUUUGGAAAGAAAGGGUAGAAGAAAGUUAUGAGGUACAAGGCUCAAGAAUGGUACAUUUCUAAGAAUGCUGAGCUCCAUUUAAAUAUGAUGUCAAAAGUAGUAGUAGACGAUCCAAGUCUAACUGAAGAUGCUUCCAGCUGCACCUUUCGCAGUAAAAAUUUUUUCUAUGUUAGGGCCUUGACAAAUUUUCCAGAAAGAUAUGGAUAUAUGAAUGAAGUUUAAAGCAGUAAACCAACCUCUGCCAUUAUAAUCCAUGGGAUUCCUUCCCUGCCUAAUUGGUAUUGACCCCAUAUGCAGCUGAAAGAGGAAUCAAAUAGUUGAACUUUAUAUAUUAAUAAGCCAAAUACAAGUCACUAGUUAAAAAAUUAAAGAUAAAUGUCCAACAUAUCAAGCAGAGAGGAAAAAACAAAGCAUCAGAAAUUCUGAGUCUUGAGUUUGCCAUUUGGCGUACAUUGAUCAAUGAUUUUGGACUUCAUAUUAAAGGAGAUGAUAUGUGAUAAAACCCUUUUUUGGAACAUAAGUGAUUGGUGAUAAUUUGAAGACUACUUCUUUUACUGAUCCAGUGCUUAAGUUGGUAGUUUUGGUUCUUGUUUCACUAUAUAAUCCCUGGCAUGCAUGCAUGGCUUACCUAUUGUGUUGAAGUACAGAUACAUACUAAUUAAACAAAUGGAUGCAUACAAACUUGUUAGCUCUACAAAGUUACAUGGUUUGAAUUCAUCUCCUCAAACGCAAUGUAAUUAGAACAACAAACCACCCGAUAUGCUAAUGAGUGCCUAAGCAUGAGCCUCCUCGUUCCACCAGUGACAGUCACGCAUGCUUGUUGUAACAGAAGUUUUAGCAAAUGGUUAUAUGCAAAAGAACUGCCAAGCAAAAGCAAAUGUAGCUCAGAACUCUACAGCGUUUUGCACACAUGUAAACUUAAAAACAGCAUAGCGCCCUAGCAGCAACCAAUGUACCAUUUCGUAAUUUUAGUUUCAUUUAAUAUACCUUAGCCAUUAUAGGACCAUAAUUUACCUGCUGAGAUAAAAGUAAUACCUGAGUAACACCAAAGCCAUAAUAAUCCAAAUUUAACAAUAAAAAUGGAAAAUUAACUACUAGUUUCAAACCUGAACUCGAACCCAACCUAAACUCAAAACGACCGAGUCCGAAGCGAUAUGAAUUCAAAACAACCCAACCUGUUCUUAUCCAAACCAAAAAUGACCUGAUCUGAAUCUGAUGUUUCCCACCUUUAACAAUAAUGCAUAAUUAUCUGGAAAUAAUAGUUUCAUUACAUUUUAGAAUGUUACAGGCUCAAUGUCUAACAACAGAACCUAAGCCAAUCCAAAGAGGAGUACUUUGCCUCCUCAAUCGUUAUACGUGGAUACUCACUGAAACAUCCAAGAGAAUCUUAAAUCGUACGCACCAGCCAUCUGAGAGACUUUAGAAUGAAGAAUAGAACUAGGAGUUGAAGUACAUUUGGAAAAGUUUCUGUAGAUAAAAUCAUUCCAAAAUUGCGCAGACUUCAAAUUGCAUGACAAGUAUGAUUUCCUAUUGGAAGAAGCAGAUGUUACUUAUAGAGGCAAGGGCACCAACUGAUUAAAGGAACCACUAAGAUACAUCAUGGAAAUGCCUAUAACACCAUCAUCUGUAGAAUCAACUGUGGUAAGAGCAUGAUGCAGCCAGGCUAUGUACCAUUCUUUGGUGUUAUCUAUGCAAUAUAAGACAUUCAUCAUAUGAUUAACCGUAUCCAAUUUCUUUCAACAAACAAACAAUCAGCUAUCACCUUGCUAAAUCCCUAUAAUAGCCUUUCAACAUCCAGCAAUCACAGACCUUUCAACACCUAAAAAUAUGAUAUCAUGAAUUGAAAGUAGGCAAGGACAAUAAUCACUUAGGUAUAAGAAGCAGAAGCAAUGAUCUGGUCAGAACUCCAAACAUAAUUCUUAUGUGCUAUCUUUGCUAGGGAUAGUAAGUUAUCUAAUUCUAGAUGUUUUUAAAUAUCUUUUCAACUUUAGUUGCCACAUGGCUCAAGAACAAUAAAUAUGGAUUAAAGAAGCUCAGCUGAGGUCAUUAAUACAUGAAGUCUGAGUGAACACCAUUGACUACUAAGUUUCUCUUGAGACAUAAGACAAUACCUCAUUAUUUUCAAGUUUUAAGCAGAAAUCAAGUUUGGGGCCUUCUUGGCAAAAAAAAAUGGACCAUGAGACAUUAAAGGAAUAGCGGAUGAUGAAAACCAAAGGAGCCGAAACUUUCACAAAUACUAUUUCAAGCCAUUCAACAACAUAGAACAACUUUAAAACCCAGAGUCUUCAAGAGAUUGAGUGGUUAGAAAAGGUUUUACAGUUAGCACUCAAUAGUCUUGUAGAAGGUUACAUAUUUCCAACCAAGGAGAUCUGUUCUCUUCCAACUUACUAAUGUGGCUAUAAUUAAUCCAAUACUUUGAAGUAAAAAGUGAGAACUCCACAGCAAAAAGAGCAACUAAAAUUCAGAAUAGUUUUGUCUCUUGCUCCUGCGUCAAUUUAAUAUCUGCAACGAAAAGUAAAAUAACAGAGACCAUGUUGAAAUAGGAUACCAACAAACAGAUACUCCUAUUUGUUCAAGUAGAGGUUCCUAAAAUGCAAUUAACAUUCUUUAAGUUUGAUGCAUAACAUUCCAUGUUUAGUUGUCCCAUUGGUUGGAUACAUCACCAUAAUCACUCUCUGAAAAGUUGAACCAUGACAGAUGCUUAUAUAAGAACUUUACAAGAUUCACAAAAAGAAUAUAGCAAGAACAUGAUGGAGUAAAUAUAAAAUUCAUAGAAGUAGAUAAGUGACAAUACAAAAAAUAGACAAGUUGUAUGGAACAAAUGCAAUUCAGCAGCUUAGGGUGUAAAUUUGCUGUUAAAACACGCACAUUUUCACUUUGUUGCCAAAAUCUGCCUACCUGUGUCGGUGCACUACAAGCCAAUUGGAAAACAGCUUUUCAAGGAUCAUAAAGCUCCCACUUUCCAUAUCUGCUGAACCCUAAACUAUAAACUUGUUAUUAGCAAGUACUAUUUCUUCCAAAACAGAACAAAGCAGAAAGACCACUAGACCAGUAAUACAAAAGAAGAAAUCUGACAGAAGCUACACCUAACUAUGUAGAUUCUUUUUAAGCUGAAAAUUAACCAUGUAGAACUUAGUCUUAAGAAAGAAUGCUAAAAGAGAACCAACUGAUCAGGAGUCACAUUUCAAAGCCACAGCAUCAAUGUGCUGUUUCAGACAAAUUUCUGUUGAAACCAAGAACAUAAUUCACAAAGCGAGAAACAUGAUCGGCUGUCAACAAAGCAGUUUAAUCGCUAAAUAUACUUCGCAAAGUGUUACCUCUGGAGCAGAAAGACCCAAGCACUCCAUGAUUGCAGAGUAAAUAGCUGAUGACUAUAUCGCUGCAAAAAAAUCAUGACAAAAUGGAACUAACAUAGAAAACUGAUAUCAGUUAGUGACUUUGUUUUGCAGGGAAAACUUAGAAGUUUUGCUAUACUGUUUCUAUGGAAACAACAGCUAUAUCAGAUGAUGCAAUGCCACAGAAAACUUGAAGCUGCAAACAUGCAACAUACCAUUAGCACAUCAUUAUCUACCUUCUGCCGGUGUCAAGGUGGUUAGUCUCACAGAAUAAUCAUUGUCAUUAUCUCAUUCAGAAAGAAUUACACAGACAAGAAAACUGCUAUAGUAGUUCUUUUCCACCAUCAUAAUGUAAAGUAGCAAUCAACAAAUAGUCUACUCCUUUCCCAAGAUUCAAUUUUUCUUUUAAUAGUAUUGUCAGCAGCAAAGGUUUUUCUAUAGCCUUUAGGGUAUUCCAUACAUGGUAAAGCAACAUACUAUCUUUUAUCAACUGAAAAGGCAUACUGUUAGUCAUGGCUAAAAUAUAGAAACCAGUGGUUAUCUUCAAAGAUUGUAAUCAAGAAAGGGCAAGAACAGUGCAUUCUGGGCAGCAAAACCAAGAUUAAAGAAUUCUAUGAGUAAAGAAAGCUUUGCACUAAAACUUUUUAACUGUGAUUUCCUUUUAAUGGAGAGAAUAAUGGCGUAGUAACAUACACAUCAUAACAGCUGUCUAAAGUUGGAAAAGAAAAAGAUGCCACUUUGGCAGGCAUGUGGACGAAAGACGGUAGAAUAAAUAACAGCUAAGUGGAGUUAGCAGUGUUGAUAUCUUUAUUGGAAGAUGGAACAGUGGCCUCCUUGGGAGUUUCCUCUUCAGUCUUCUUGUCAUCUUUUACAGCUAGCAUGACUAGAAGCACCAGCAGUGGAUAACUCACAGUGGUGAGCGACCAAUUUACAAUCAACUGGGAAAGCAAUGGAACCUUGUGCGUAUCAACUUGCCAAGCAACCGCUGCUCCUGCGCUUUGCACUCCCUUAUAAAAUCCACUAUAUCUGAAACAUUAUUAUAGACAUAAAUAUUGGUCAAUUGAUCCCAAAAAAAACCAAAACAAAGAAGAAGAUGAUGAUCUUUAAAGAAGAGAGAACAAGAAGAAGAAUGCAUUACCUGCUAAGGGUCUGUGAAUCAUCAGCCAAGGCUCCUAUGAUCCAAUAAACCAUGCUUUGAAACAUGGCAUCCAGCAAUCCGUAGCUGAAGUACAAAACAAAGGGACCGGCAAAAGCAGAUUCCUUGAAAUCCAACCUCGUAGGUGGAUGAUCAUGGGAGUAGGGGAGUUGAUUGGCAAGGCCACCACCCCAGAUUGCACUGCCAAGCAAAGCGACAACACCAAUCCCAACAAAACCCCUCAUCCUCCUACUCUGGAAACUAAAAUCCAAUAAGUAACCAAUCCCAAUAGAGCCCAACAUCUGGGCCCCCCAAUAGAACACGUUGUUUAACCCUCUGGUUCUCAGAUUAAAAAGAAGGCCAUUGACAUUAUUGAACUGAUAGCUGUAAAAGAAAUUGCUGGCCCAAGCAGCAGGGACAAUAAGGAGCAUUUUCCAAUUGAAAAACAAUUUGAGAAUCUCGACUGCCUCUGUGGAGACACUGGAGUACUUAACAUUGGUGCAACGUGUACCAUCAUCGCGAACAACUUUGUUGGGUGGCAAAAUGGCAAAAGAAAGAAGAGUUCCAGCCGACAUGAAGCACAUGAAGCCAAUAUAAGUGGCAUCAUUUACAGAAGCCGCCUCGUUUCUGUGGUAAUUCAGAAUAAAAGGAAUAAGGCCACCAAUAACUCCACCCAUGUUGAAAAUGCUCCAAAACAGGGAGAUGUAAGUGCCCUUUCGAUUCGGUGGAGGAUAAGAAGUCAUAAUAGCGCCUUCACCGGCCCAAAGAAAGCCAGCGCCAACGCCAAGAAGGCCACCUGCCGCAAUUGCAAAAGCCUGGUGUUUAUGAUGGUUGUAGUAGAGGAAAGAGCCGGCGUAAAGGACAUAAGUGCUGCAGCCAGCAGCAAGGGUGAGAUGGGGUCCGAGGACGUUGUAAAUGCCCCCGCCCAGGAUGCCAAAAACAGCGAAAGUGGUGUAAAGGGCAGUGUUGGCGUUGUUGGCAGCGGUCGGAUCGACUUGCCCUCCUCCUCCCAUCCCGGAAAGGGCGUUGAACAUUCCGGGGCAGCAGAAACAUACCAAGCCUAUGAGGGAGACUUGGACGAGUGGCGAGUUGUAUCUGAAUUUCGAUUUUGUGGACAAUUCGGUGCCUGAUUCUUCAUCUGCAACGCCGCCUUGGAAACCCAUUUUGUUGUUUCUGAUCAAAGGAUUUGGAAAGGCCAAAAGGGAAAGAAUGGAAUGGAAUGGAAUGCUGAGAAAAUUCUGGGAUCUGGAAUCAGGACAGUAUGAUCCACUUUUAUACUUGCUACCUUAACGGGGGAGCUACCAGGGAAGUGUUUUACUGAGAGUUAAACACAGCACUAGCCCAACCAGUACUCUGCCUCAUACUGGCUAAUAUUUAUAUAUAUACACUAAACUGACAAAAUCCUGUCCAAUUGUUUAAGAAAAUGGUUUUUCUUUCCCUUUUCUUUUUCCCGAAUAUUACAAUAUGAAUCUAACCUCACACCUUAGUCUUUGUGGUUUAACGACGUUAACAUACGAACAAAGUUAAAAUAAUAAUUGGAGUGUUCAUAUCCUUAUGAAUAUUAUUCCAACCUCAUGGAUGAUAACAUCUUGAUAGGCACAGCGCACGACGACUGGUGGUGCAAAUAAAUAAUUCAGAUUCUGAAUGAUUCCGAGGAUUAAUUUCACAUGUUACCGUAGCUCAUCAGCCAAAAUUCUCGAUAAGGAAGCCAAGCCAAAUGUCCCACCCAUUUGACUAAUAACUACGCGUCUGUACUUCAAAUCAUAAAAAUAUGGAGUAAUGGAUUAUUAUUAAUAUUGUAUAUAUGAAAAGAAAUUAUUUAAGAUUAUUAUUUAAUUUGUGAAACGUAAUAUGGAAAGCAAUUGAUAAAGGUGUCUUGGAAGUGAAGGACAAAACUUUUGACGUUUCAUGUCCCAAAUUUUGGUCUUUUCCAGCACUCGUCCAAUUACCAGGAAGCCGGCUGCCGGCUUCUACCCGAGUUUAGGUAGAUGGUCAUCUUUUGAUCCUCGGAAUUAAUUAAAAGUCCGGCGAGGCGACUCUACAAAUUAAUAGCAGAGAUGUAUAUAAGUCAACGGUUGCCCAUCCAAGUUUUAACAAUUCUGCUUGCCCAUUACCGGCUUUCUUUCUAUGGCAGAAACCAAGAUAAAGACAUAAAUAGCUCCUUUGUUUUGGGAACUACGGAAAAGGGUUGCUAAGAUAAGACAAGAAGCCAUGAGAGCACAAGGAGAGACAAACAUAUGUCGUGAUCUGAAACCCGGGUGUACAAUAAAAAAAACUUUCCCAGGUCAAGCUGCCCUACCCUUGCUUUGACUGCAACCAACCGCGCUGGAUUUAGUAAGCUGAGCUCAUUUUCUGCCUUAAUAGCUCAACUUACAUCUGGCGCUCCUUGCCAAUGCUGGAUAAGGCACCGGCAGGCCAUAUCCGACCACUCUGGUUAGGGCGGAUCGACAUAGAGUGAAGUCGUGUAAGAUGAUACUACUGAAGUCUUAAAAACUUUUACAAUUUUAUAUAGUCAAUAAGACUAAUGAAUUUACUAAAUUUUUAUAAUUUUGUAAAGAGUGAGUUUAAAAACUUCCAAUCGAAUUAGAUUUAUUUAUGACAUCACUCAAAAAAAUUAUUAAGUCACCUCUAACCUUAGCUCGGAUCACGUCCCAAAAACAUCGUAGCAAGAAAGAAGAGAAGAGAGGAAGAAAGAAAGGAAAUAAAGGAAUUUUCCUUGAUUUUCCAAGUCAUUUUCCACUCCUGCAAACAAACAAAAAAAAACCAUUAAUUUCAAUGUUGGCAGUUCUUAGUAUUAUUUGGCUUAUUAAUUUGUCUAACUAAAUUAUUGAAACGAAUAUUCUUUAUUCUCUAAGGGUCAUUAAUUAAAUUGAGAUUGAAGUCAAAUAACUUGAUUACUUGCAAAAAAAAAAAGUGAAAGCUAUUUCAAGAUGUGAAAUUUUAAUUUUUAAUUCAAUAAUAAUAAUUGUUAUUCAAAAUAUAAUCUAAGGAUCUAUUACAGCAAAAUUGAAAAUCAAAGAUAAAAAGUACAUCACAGGUGACCCAAGUGCCUCACUUUUAAAAGAAUUUACGUUUCUUAUUUUUCUCAGUUUUUAAAACUUGUUGUUAAACAAUUCUGAUAACUAAUUUUAUUUUUGAAAAUUCUAAUCACCAAUUAAGUAGCUACUCUUGCCUAUUUAUAUAAGACAUAUACAAAUCCUAUUAGGAACAGGAUUCUAACUCAACUUAAUUAGAAGUUAGUAAAGACCUAUGUAGAUACCUCAAUGGAUUUGGGUCCACUUAAAUUGAUUCAUAUUCCAACAAACAUAUUGAAAACCCAAAAGAAAAAUGUGACAUCCCUUGGAUCUCUCUACAUGCAGUGGGGGUUCAAAUACAUAUCAUUUCAUACUAGAUAUUUUAUUUGGAAUUUUUAAUCUUAUUUUAAUAUUUUAGUUUCGUAAAUUAACUAAGAAACCUUAUUUACCCACUAAUUAUAAUAAUGUUCAACUAAUCUUUGUCAAGAAAAAAAUUUUCAAUGAGAUCUCUUUCAUUAUAAUAUUUACUAAUUAGUUCUUUCAGCACAACAUAUUUCUCAUAGGUUUUAUGGAUAAAUAAUUUUCAUUGUUACAUCCAACCCAUAUAAUACUAAUUCUUAAUUUUCAUUCUUCCUAAACUUUUAAAAAAAAAUUUCUUCAAAAAUAUUUAUAUAAUAUAAUAUUAAUAUAAAUAAUAUAAUCUUAAAAAGGUAACUUGUUACAACUAAAUCUUCUCCAUCAAACACUAACAAUAAGCGUUAGUUCAAUUUACAUAUUUUGGUAUGUGUUCCACUACUGACUAAUGUUCACUAUUCCGUGUUGAGACUUGAGCUCAACUUCGUGCAAUCUUGAGCUCUGAAAUAUGUCACUUAUUGAGCUCAGAUCAACCAACAAAACCAAUCAAGAACUCAAAGUUUCUUGAAUUAACACAAAGGCAACGAAAUAAGAGAAAAACAAAUAGAAAAGAGCUUGAGAGGAAAGAGUAUUUAUUCUCAAACUUGGUGUGUUUUAAAAAUGAAGAGAAUAGGGUAUUUGUAGGCUUGCUAGCCCCUUAUCUAGUUAUCUACAAUUUGAAUUCGAAUUAAAUGAUAAGACUAAGAAAUUCAUGUUGGCUCCAUUAGUUUUUGAUGAUAAUAAAACUUUCUCAUUUAUUUGUGUCUAAUUCCUUUACUUAAGUGUGCAAGAAAUUAAUACAUGAAAUUAAUUUCUUAAAUCCUUAAAGAGUAUUUUUGAAAGAAAAAGAAGGAUAAAUUCAACAAGAUGUAACUGAAUAAUAAGGAGGAAGCUUGUUGGUUAAACAAGGAAGAACAUUGGUUGAUCAAAUUUCAAAUUGGAGAAAUGGCGAGCUGAAGAGUUUGAGAAACAAAACCAACUUAGUCAACCAAGUUAGUCGACUAAGUGGCCUCUGCCAGAAUCUACAAACCAGAAACAGAAUCAACUUAGUCAACCAAAUUAGUCGACUAAGACCUUUCUGUCUGCAACUUGAACUAGAGCACUACAAGAUAGAUUAAUAGCUAGAACUCAUCUUCAACUGUUUCCAACGGGCAUAAACUAUCCAACUGCCAUCAGAGUUGCAUCUCCAAGUAUAAAAGGGUCUUCCAACAAUGAGAAAGAAGUUUUUUGAAGCUUUGAAUGAGAUUUGAGCUAUAGAAAGUUGAAAAACCAGAAAAGCUUCACUUCACUUGUCUGUACCUCAACGCUUACUCUUUGCAUUUGUGAUUAGUACUCAAUCUUGUACCAAUUAGAUCAUCCAAUGAUCAUAGGUACUUGUUUUUACCACUUCUUCUUGUAUACUUAGAGUGAGGGAGUCAUUCUAAGGGGUUGUUCAAGCUUGGGAAAGCUUGAAUGUUAUAGGUUAUGGUUAAGCCUUGGAAAAUCACUUUGGGUUUUAGUUUAGCCCGGGAAAAACUAGUGUAAAGUUUGUGGCUGAGCCUGCGAAAAGCCAUUGUAAAAGCUUGAUGGAAGCUUGUGAAUUUCACCAAAUUCUUAGUGAAUUGUUGGAAAAAUCCUUGGUUUGAUAAUCAAGAUAGUGGAUGUAGGUCUUGGAUCGAACCACUAUAAAUUGUUGUCCAUUGUCUACUCUAUUUUUACUUUCCUUGUUUUGGAAAUUAGUUCUUCAUCUUGUCAAGAGCCAAAUUGUGCUAUGCACCCCCCUCUAAUACAUAUUAACGGGACCAACAAUUCAAAUUUGAAUGGCUAUCUUAUUUACAACAUUCAAAUUUGAAUGUUAAUCAUAUCUACAUUCAAAUACAUCAAGACUCUUUUAAGAGUACAUGAAUACUUUUACCCCUAGUAUGCACGCUAAGCUUCUUGUUUAGACUACUUGCAUAUCUAACCUACUUGGUGGGCCUAGGUUGGUCUGAACUUUUGUACACUGACAUCUUCCCCCACUCAAUCUAAUAAUGCCCUCAUUGUUAAAAGAUGGACAUCUUUGUCUAGUGUACUGUUGCAUCAUGGUUGUCCUUUCACUCAUCUUUGCCUCAAACAACCUUGCUCUGUGCACUCUUGGCUUGGGCUUCUUUGCCUUGCACAUUACUUUUGCAUGCUACUACCUUGGACACCCUUACCUCGCACACUAUUCUAUCAUGUGAAGACCCCUCAAGCAUUUACUAACUUGGCAUUCUUGCCUUGCAUACAUUUCUUUGGAAUGCAUUGUCUCCUGGAGCACUUGUUAUGAACCAAUUUGUAUUGCCUUGGCUCUUGGGUCUCACGAGUGCUUGGCUAGUCUCAACAGUUCCUCAAUUAUGUCUUAGCAUUUUGGCCUUUCUAGCUCUCAUUUAUAAUAGUCUUGUCACUAUUGAUCUUGGUCUCUCUCUAACCAUACGAUAUUUUGCUACCACUUAUUGCUUCCCUUAGGGCAACACAAUAUUACUUAAUCUCAAUACACUCCUAAGCUCCUUUGGCCAUGAAUGGUGGCACUACUUGCCAUUGCAUCAACCCUUUUGUUGGACUAUAUAGAUAGUUUGUUGGGUCUCUUUUUCAUUAUGCAACACUAGGCUUCCCAAGUGUUAUCGCUCACCAUGCCCCUUGACUCAUUUGUUGCCACUCUCAUUACUUAGAUCCUUCUUUUCUAGUACGAUAACCAUGAGCCUAUUGCAUGUGAGGCAAUCCUCAUCCAAUGUGAUUUGUCUUGUUUCCCACCAUUACCUUUCUCAUCAAGUCAAAAUGAGCAAAACUUGAGUAAACUCUCAACCAGCGCUAUGACUUGCAUGAAGUUUUACACGCCUCUAUGCUCAAGCUUUUGCUUCACUUAUAGCUUCAAGUCAUCCAUAAAUGCAAAUAACGCCUCUUUUUCAUUGAGAUCGCUAAUUUGCAAUGACAAUUCAUAAAAUUUUUUCUCAUAUUCCCAUUCCUCACCAUGUUGGGUAGGCCUCUUAAGUUUCACUCAAGCCUCGUCCUCAACAUACUUAAGAUAAAAUUGCUUUCACAGCUCCUUUUAGAACUUCACCCGUAUGCUAAUGGUUGUUCCCUUAAGCUUCACAUUGCACCUUUGCCUCCAUCACAAUAAGAUUAUGUCCACCAAGUACAUAGCAGCUAAAUUAAUUCAUAAAGAAUCCUCUUUGAUGCCCAUGACUCGAAAAUAUUGCUUCAAAGUCCAUAAGAAAUUGUUGACAUCCUUAGCCUCCUUCUAACCUCGAAAUUUAGGCUUAAGCACCUUCAGUUUGGCCUUCAUCUCAAAAGUGAGCAGAACACCCCAAUGGUUGCCUUGAAUGCAACAAGUUCAUCCUUGAGCCCUUAUCGAAGGGCCUCAACUAGCUCUUCUAAUGCUGCAUUUAACCGAUUCAACAUAUCCAUAAACUCAUUAAAAGUCAUCUACAACUCCCCAUGAAGCUUGUCAUCUCGAAACCACAACUCCUUGAUACUAGUUUCAACUUCCUCAAAUUUAUCCCUCAUGUUACCCACAGCCAAUUCCAUUUUGGAUACUUAGCCUUCAAGAUCAAACAUAUAUUUCAAACUUGACUUACCUCGUUUGGCUACACAGUUGGUCUUCCUUAUUUCCUAACUGGGUGUGCACUAAUCAACAAUGGAAGUCUUGGCAUUAAUACCAACUAUCACAUGUUAAGACUUUAGCUCAACUCUGUGUGGCUUUGAACUUUGAAAUACACCACUUACUAAGCUUAAGUUAACCAAUAAAACUAGUCAAGAACUCAAAAGGUGUUGAAACAACACAAAACGUCAAGAACUCAAAGGUUGUUGAAACAACACAAAAGCAACGAAAUAAAAGAAAAAUGGAGAAAAGAGAGCUUAAGAGAAAAGUGUAUAAAUCUCAAACUUGGUGUGUUUUACAAAUGAAGAGAUAUGGUAUUUAUAGGCUUGUUAGCCCUCUUAUCUAGCUAUCUACAAUUUGAAUUUGAAAUAAAUGAUUAGGCUAAGGUAUUCAAACUUGAAUGGUCAUCCUAUCUACAUCAUUCAAAUUCGAAUUCUAAUCAUAUCUACAUUCAAAUACGUCAAUCAACAAAAAGUUCAUAUCUGUCGAGACUCUUUUAAGCAUGCGUAGAUACUUUUACCCUUAGUAUGCGAGAUGGGCUUGUUGUCUAGGCUACUAACAUAUCUAGCCUACUGGUGUGCUUGAGCUACUAGACUACUUGGUAGGCUUAGGCUAGUCUGAACUCUUAGGCCAUUAUAGAUACUUGAUUUUGAUUAAUACCUAUUAUCUAAAGAAUUAUUUUAUAACAUAAUAUUGUAUAGAGAAUAAUAAGAACAAUCAUUGCGAGUGAAGUACUACUCAUGUUGAACAAUUAAAAGAAGUGAAUUACUACUUCACAUGGAAUAACUAGAAUAAGUGGAGCACUACGCCAUGUGGAACAAUGAUAACUCUAUGAUAUAGAGUUAUUUGAGCUUCAUUUUGAUAGUAAUUUAGCUUAGUUCUUGUAGUAAUGUAUAGAUAUUAGUAGAUUUUAUUUAAUUAUUUUAAAUUAAUUAUUUUAGGUGAGUUAGUCUAAUCUUAGUUAAUUUUAUUCUUUAUUUGGUGUUAAUGUGGUUAAAAUAGGUUGUUAUUGAUUUAUUUGUGCUUUUUUAUGUGUUUGAUGAAAGAAGAAUUUUAGUGAAAGAAGGAGAGCAAUUUUGAGGUGCAGACUUGCAUUGCACAUAUUUCUGUAUUUCGACUAUAACUUUCUCUAAAGAACUCCAAAUGAAGCAAUUCUUAGACCAUUGAAAAGAUAAGAUAAAAACCUACAACUUUUAUGUUUUCCACUUUACCCAGUUCGGCCUGUAAAAUGGUCAAAAAUCUUAUUGAAGUUGACAUACUGUAGCAGUUCUAUAGCAAUUACGAUUUUUGUUAAUUAAUUGGGAAAAGCUACAACUCACAUAGUCUGAUGAGGAUAUCCUAGUUCGAAUUGAAUUCUUUCUUCACCCAACUUGACCUCACUUCAAAGCCUAUAAAAACAACCUUUCAGAGGACUUAAAAAAGGUGAAAAAAACACCAGAUUAACAUCUGAGAGUCAAGCCACAAAGUCAUUAAAGGAAUUUGAAGGAUUAAAGGAGAUUUGGAGAUCAAGAAUACAAUCCUUGGUUUUUUUUAUCUUUUUGUUAUUCUCUUAUUCUCUUGGUUUUAAUGUUUAAAUUUUAUUCAAUGAUAAUGUGUGACUUGAUGGAGAAUUAAAUUGUUAAUCUAAGAUUAUGAUUGAAUUCAAUACAUAGUCUAAAUUAUUUCUCUCUUUUAUUUAUGUUUGAUAGAUUUAAGUUGUUUGUUUUAUUCUGUUCUUAAUGCUUCUAGUUGACUGGUCACCAAUUAGAUUGAAUUGGAAACCUAAGUCAAACCUUGACGAAGGAGAUUUAGGUAGACCCUGAAUAAAAUAGCGUAUGAUCGAAUAUACUUAGUUGAUUAGAUGAUUUGAUUUGCAUAUAGGGUAGACAUACACCUAUAAGCCAUACAUAGCCAAAAUUAGAGCACAAACUUAAUGAAUCUUUCUUCAAUAUAAUUUGCAUAGAUAUAAAGUAAAUUAAUUAGGAGAGAUAUAUUUAUGAGAAACUCGACAGAGACUUGUAAAUAAUUUAGGACUCUAGGUUAGUAACUUAAUCCAAUAAACUAAGUUAAAAGAGACAGAGAGAGACAAUAUUCAGAUGAAGUAUUGACGGAUAUCAUAAUCUUAUAUCUGUUAAUCACUAGAAGUAAAAUUUACUGAUAUAUUAGUUUUAAUUAUUAGUUUAUUAAUUUAAAUUUUCUUUUUUAAUUUUAAUUGUUUAGAUAAAAUUAAGGUGUGUUAAUUUUAGUAAUUAACAAUAAGGAUUAAUUUAAUUCUCUGUGGGAUCGACACUUUACUCAUCUCUAUAUUAUCUUUGCGAUACGUGCACUUGUGUGAGUAGAAAUUUGAACAACAAACAACUAAUAUAAGUAAAACAACUACUUUGCACAGAAUAACCACUUCACAUAUAUGACAGUGAAAGUAACCCUAAAUAAGUGGCAGGGUUCAUGGGUUACUUUCAUCUUGAGAUAUUCUGGAGAGUUUGGCUUGGUGGCUCAGAUGUAGAGAUAGUUAAGAGGUCUACUUCUUAACCUUUUCUUGAAGUGCAAGUGUUUCUCCCUCUUACCUAUUUCUCUUGUACUAGUUCAUGUACACCUUCUUCUCUCAACUUGUUCUCAUAUAGUUUUUCAUGUAUAACUCUUUUUUAUUACUUGAAAACAAAUCUUAUUACACCCAAUUACUUCAACGGUCACAUGUUAAGUUUCUAACUGAUACUCAUUAUAUGCAAUAAGAUCAUUGUUUUAAUAUCCACAUAAUAGAUUACAGUAAUGGUUACUCAUAUUAAAACUCUUCAUAAUAAUGUUAUUCAUUUUGCACAUUAAAACUUAUUAUUAAGUAACUGUCACUUCUAGCACUAUGUUUAGAACUUUCACAAUUCAUUUGAAAGUUUUUCACUUUUCAGAACUACCUUACUCUCACUCCAAGCUUUUCUCUCUAGCCAUCUUAUUCAUUGUCUACCUAUUCUCUUCUUGUUCUCUUCCACCUACCAUGACACUCAGUACUUCAGCAACUACUUCGAUCUCCCUUUCUACUAGACUUGGUAAUUUUGGACACAACACGUUAACACGACACAAGAAGACACUUGGUUAAACAAGUUUGGAUUUAGCCUUAACGUGUUUCAUGUCUAAUCGUGUCUGACACGUUUAAGACAAGAAAAUUUUCAUAUCUUAACGUGCCAGACACGACAAACACAUUUAAAACACAUUUAAAUACGUUUACUUAAUCGUGUUAUCGUGUCUAAACGUAUAUACGUGACAAGUUUAUUAACCUAUUAAAAAUUAAUAAAUAAAGACUAUUUUAACCUUAUAUAAAUAAUUUUAAAUAAUUAUUUUAAUAAAUUUUUUAAUUUUAUAAAGGUAAUAAUGUAAUUAUACAUGCCUAAACCCUAAUUUUUAACUUUUGGUUAUCAUUUUGGAUAACCUCACGCACAACGCACCAGAUCUGUGUUCACUCCUUCAAUCAGCAAGCUUUCUUCUCUUAUUCAAAUAUUUGUUUUCUUUCCCCUUUCACUUCAGCCGUUUUAGAGUGGGAGUGCUAAGCAGUUUCUUCUUCUUCAAUUCCUUAUUCGAGAUUCAAGAAAUCUCUAUAGAUUAGGAAGAUUCAAGAAAUCUCUUUAAAUUGGGUGAUUCCAAAUCGACAAAUCCUCUUGUCCUCCUUGCAUCUGUGAUUGUGCUCUUUCUCUUUCCCAUAUCAACAUUGCCCAUUUGUUGAAACAAAGGUGAGCAAUUUUUUAAAAAAAAAAGUGUUUUUUUAUUCAUCCAUUACCAGAUGUGCCAUAACAAGUCUUUAGCUUUAGUGGCAGAAGACUUCAAGCGGCAUUAAUUCUGGUAUGGGCAAGUGAACAGUACAUUAACAAAAAUUUCCAUUGCACAAAAGCCAUUAAGAAUGAGUACACUCUUUCUACCUCUAUAUAGCAUAACAAAAACAUAUUAGUAAACUAAUUGACAAGAAGAGCUCUCAUUAAGCCCUCGUAAACAAGGUACCUCUAGCUUUACACCUUGCAAAACAAAGCUAGAUACUUGCUACAAAACAAAAAUCAGAACCCAACAAAAAAUUGAAGCAAAACCAACAUAACAACUCAAUUGUUCUUUGAAUGCAGCAGUCAUAAACCGUUAACGUGCCCCUCAUUCGCCCUUACCCAUCAAUCUUAAUUAUAGUGUCAACUCAAGCUAGCGACUCAUUGCUUCUUUUCCACUUUGCACCCAACUACUCACGUUCCUUGGAUCGACUCAAAUGUCGUCCUUUGGCUACUCCAACUCCCAACCUCUAUUCUAGAGCAAUAUUCCUUUGAAUCACCUCAUCCUUCCUUUCCUUGAAAUUCAAUCCCAACUUUUUAGUUAAUUCCCAAAUUUCCUCUGCUUCCUUUCUAAUUGCCAAAUAUCUUAACCUUAAGUCUGAAUCAAAGAUUGUAUCUUGCCCGUGCUUAUCUUUAUCUAAAUUUGUGUACCCCAUAUCGUGCUCUGUCUGAUGCAUUGCCUGACUGCAAUCAUGAAUCUCAUAUUCUCUCCCUAAACCUCUCUUACAUGGUUUGAGCACCACUUGUUUGCUUUCAUUUACAAACUCUGGGCCUACUCCUUUAUUCCCAUGAGGUGUCUCUUUUGACAACUUUGGCCUCUUAUAUGUAAUUCCUACACUAACCAUGAGGUAAGUAGUUUAGUUAUUAACUGAAGAAAAAGAGAAAUUUUGAACAAAAAAAUAUGAUAUAUUUUCCCUAAAUGAAAAAAUAUGUGUACAUUUAUAUUGGAUUUUUAUAUCUUACACCUGGGCUGGUGAAGACUUGAUGAUGAGCUUUCAGCUCAUGACACCCUCUCGCACUGGUCAAUGAAUGCAUUUCCUUAAUCAAAUACAUAGCAUGAAAGUCAUAUGAUUUAUUUCUUGAAAAUUUAGAGCAUAUUUCCUUUUUUCUCCAAUUCAUUUUUGUUCAAAAGUAGUUGUAAAUUUAGCUUGUAAGGCAAGCUGUAUAUGUGGUUCAUGCAAGCUAUUCUUUUCAUAAGUUCAUUAUGUUCUUUCUUUAACCUGUGAUAUGUAUGUUUCUUUCCUACGGCCCAUUGAUGUCCAUCUAUUGUAAUUGGUUUCCAACUCCAUUAUAGUUACCUCUUUAAGGACUCUUGAGGUUAUUGAUUUACUUGGAUGGGAAUGUCGAGCCUUCUGCAUCAUUUAAUACCUUAACUAACCCUUAGAUAAAAGAAAAAGAAGGGGAAAAGUGGGUUGUUUCUUUGUGGGGAGAAGUAUCCAAACUUUGCUUUUUAACAUCAAAGAGAAUUUUAAAAUGGUCCAUGAAGAUACUCUUGUAAAUCUAGUAAAAGUUACUUUAGUCUAUACAAGCAACAGAUCAUGCUUUGACAAAUGGAAACCUUCAUGUUUAAAAUUAAUUUUGACAGAUCAUGUUUUGAAUGGAAAAAAGUGGAAUCUUUAUCCAAUAUAAAAAUAUGGUAAGUAUUUAUUAGUUGAAGCAAAAAUAUGGGUUCCAUGAAUCUUUUCCCUGGCUUUUCUCUUUAAGUGAAUAAAUUCUUACAAAAAAUGAAAAAGGAAAAAGAAAUAGUGUACAUUUAGCUGCUCUUUCUCUUAAUUUGAUCUUCUUGUUAAUUUUUCAUUUUAAGGUUUGGAAAUGUUAUAUUUCUUUGGUGUUUUUUUUUUUUUUUGGUAAUUUUUGUUUAUAGCCUUAAGGUGUUGAAAAGUAAUGGACUAUAUUAGUUCUAAUGAAAAAUGAUUUGACUCAUUUUUAUGACAUUUAAUAUGUAAUCUGACAAUAUUAAUAUUUUUGAUGUUAUUUAUGUUGCUGAUGUUUGCAAAUGGAAUCUGACAAUAUUGAUGUUACUUUUUAAUCAAAUGUUCAUUUUUUGGAGGAAUCUGAUGAUUGUGUACAGAUUGAUCAAACAGGAGCAAUAGUUGAAAAGAAGCCAUGCCAACCCAAAAAACAAAAAUUAACUUCAAAGAUUUGGACAUUCUUUAAACGUUUGCCAGAAAAGAACUCAAGUGAUAGAAAACCAAAAGCAAAGUGCAAGCUCUGUGGGUAUAUUUUGAAUUAUGAAAGCAAGUAUGGGGCAGGUAAUUUGAAACGUCAUAAUGAUAAUGUCACGACCCAAAUUUCAGGCCAUGACCGGUGCAUGGGCCCAAUGGGCAUAGCCCACUAAGCCCAAGCAAGCCUAUUUAUAUGACCUGUUCAUCAUUCCAUCAAAAGUUCCUAAAUUCACAUUUCAUAAUUCCAAUUCAAAAUAAUGCUAACCAUUGCGAACUCAUAGUGGCAUUACCAAUCCAAAUAUACAUAUAUUGUCUAAAACAUACAUCUUAAUAUUUUACAUCGGGUUUGUCUAUACACAACCAAAGGGAUACUCGACUUCCAGCGGAGAGAUCUGGGCAAAAGUACAGCUAUUAAAUGUCGAGAUACCUACCACGGAGACAAAUCUACGAGGACACCUCGACCUAGUUACCAACUGCCUCCUGAUCUGAAAACAGUGAGUAUAAACCCAAUGAGUGAACAAAGGAAGGGAACAAGCAAACGAUAAGAAAAGUUUAAAGAAAUCAUGAUGCACUUAUUUUCAAAAACAAUGCAAUUUAGUUUAGUUCUUAUUAAAACCCCUCAUUAAACCCUUAAUUGGUUAAUCACUUGAUGAUGAAGGAUCCAUGCACAACAAAGAAUUUGAAGAGUGAAAACUUUAGUAGCAUUCAAGCAAGUCAAGCGAAAUAACUGAUCCUCGCUAUAGCGAAAAGGCAUUCUCGCUGUAGCGAAAUUUAGGCUCAAAUCAUUAGCUGGUCGAGGGUUUCUCACUAAAACCCUUCAUUUCAAACUUAAUUAAUUAAUUCCUUGAUGUUGGAAGUUCAUGAUCAACUAUGAUGUUAAAGAAGUGAAAAAUAUGGCAGAAACCAAACAAGGUAGCAAUCACGACAGAAGGUUUCUCGCUACAGCAAAACCACCUGUAGACAUCUCGCUGUAGCAAGAAUGUAUUAUAACUAUAGCGAGUUACAGGACUGCAGCCAGGCUCCCAACCAAAGAGUUUCUCGCUGCAACGAGAAACUGAACACCAAGAAGAAAGUUCUCAUUAUAUCAAGAAAAGGUCAUCCUGCUGCAAUGACAAAGUCAACUUGAAAAUACUUAGCAAUUUCCAAGGUUCAACAUGCAAGAUUUCACAUACAUUACAACCAUAUACCAUAUUCAUGAACUUUCUAUUGCAUAAAUAUAUAUAUAUAUAUAUAUAUAUAUAUAUACACNNNNNNNNNNNNNNNNNNNNNNNNNNNNNNNNNNNNNNNNNNNNNNNNNNNAACCAUAUACCAUAUUCAUGAACUUUCUAUUGCAAUAAUAUAUAUAUAUAUAUAUAUAUAUAUAUAUACACAUAUAUAAACACCAAUACCACCACUUCACCCAGCUCAUGUGCAUCCCUCACAUCGUGCACAGCUAAUACCGUCGUGUGCAUCCCCUACAUCGUGCACAGGCAACAUCAUCAUCCACACUCUCGCACCCGUCAUCACCGGCAUGCGCAUCCCCCACAUCGCGCACAUUCACGGUUAUAUUUAUUACACAAUAUUAACUAUUGAUACACAACAUAUAUAUAUAUAUAUCAGCAUCCUAUAGGAGCACAAAGAUUCAUCAUAUUACACACUCACCACAUAAAAUGUUUUAAUAAAGGCUUGUUCCCAUGCAUAAUCUUUAAGGAAAAAUCAAAUAAAAAUCAUUCACAUGCUUCAUCCAAAUACCAAUACAUUUCCCAAAAUAUUUUAAAUGCAAGUUAACUCACCUUGGUGGAUUUGUAAUUGAAUUUCUUUUCAAAAUUCUUCCAAGCUAAGAAGGGAAAUCACUCCCUCUCUCUCUACACGUCCAACUAGUGAGUGAAUGUACUUAAGAAAGACUUUUGAGGGCUAUUAAGGUGUAAAAGUGGAAGAGCAUGAAAAACCCUAUGAAAGAGUGUAGAAAAACAUGAGAAAUAAAGCUAAUUUGGGAAAGUUUUAAAGGUUUCAAAGGAUACUUCCAUGAAAGGUGCAAAGAAACAUGGAAUGGAGAGGAGGAUAGGAGGAAGAAGAAGAAGAGAAGCUGUUAAAAAACUAAAAAAAAGCUGCUGGAGAUUAGAUAUUUAUAGUUAAAGGUUAUCCAAUUUUCAUAGAAUUUACAACAAUGCCCUUAACAAGGCCAUUUGUCUUCCUCCUUUCCUUUAUGCACUCUUUUUACUCCUUUAACAUUGAGACAAAGUCCAUAAUAGUCUAAAAGUACUCGAGUUUACGAAAACCUAAAAAUUUAUGCUCGAGGUGCAAAAUAAUCAUUUUACCCCUACCAUAGAAAUUAUCAAUAUUUAUAUCUACUUCAUGUAUUUUACCCUCAUUCAUUUAUUCCUUAAGCCUACUUAGACCUUAAUAAUGUCUGAAAGUCUACUUUUAAGGGCUCACCAUGAGAAAUGAUGAAAUUACCCCUAGCCUAUGUUAUCGCGUCUACACCUAGUUACGGGGCCUGUAGAAGUCGAGGUCUCACAGAUAAUUGUGUUAGGAAAGACACACGUGAUAUAGGUCAAAUGAUUUUUUCUAAGGAACAUAAUUCAAUGUUAAUGAGGUCUUCAAAGUUUGAUCCUGAAAAGUUUUGUGAAUUAGUGGUAGCUGCAAUUGUGAUGCAUAAUUGACCUUUAUCAUUUAUGGAGUAUACUGGCAUUAGGUCUAUGUUGCCUUAUUUGCGUGAAGAUGUUGUUCUGAUCUCUAGGAACAUUGUUAAAGCUGAUAUAAUUAAGAUGCAUAAAAGAGAAAAAAGUAAGAUACAAUACCUGCUUCAAGAAUCACCUGAUAAGAUUUGUUUAACUUCUGAUUUGUGGACUUCUGUUGUUAUUGAUGGGUAAAUUUGUCUUACUGCUCAUUUUGUUGACAAAAAUUGGAUUUUACAAAAAAAAAUCUUGAAUUUUUCCUUUAUGCCACCUCCAGACAAUGGUGUUGUUUUGAGUGAAAAGAUUUAUGCAUUGUUAGUUGAAUGAGGAAUUGAAAGUAAAUUGUUUUCAAUAACAUUGGAUAAUGCUUCUGCAAAUAAUACUUUUCUUGAUUUGUUGAAAGUGCAAUUGAAUAUGAGAAAGCAACUUUUAGGAGGAGGCAAGUUUUUUCAUAUAAGAUGUUGUGCUCAUAUACUUAAGUUGAUUGUGCAAGAUGGUUUGAAAGAAGUUGAUAGUGCAAUGCAAAAUGUGAGGGAAAGUAUUAAGUAUGUGAAAGGUUCUUUGUCACGACCCGGUACUCCCCUCGAGCCCAUGACAACUCCCGCGGUGUCCCGAUCGAUACUCAUUACCCGAAAUGUCAACCGGAACCCCGCAAGGCUUUAAUAUCAGUUUCUCAUUUUCGUUGUGAGUAACCGUUGCUGAAUAUCAUGUUCUAAAAGAUUUUAAGCUAUUUCCAACUUAAAUCAAUAAAAAANGGGAAUAGCUAAAGCUGACUUUUAACCAAUUUUAUGGAAUUUUUAUUCUUGAAGAAUUGUUAUUUCGUGUGCUAAUUUUAAACCAAAUAAAGGUACGAGAAAAGAGUGGGAAUAGAGGAAUAGAAGGGGAAUAACAUAGCUAUUCCCCAUACCAAACGUGCAGUAAGUCCCUAGGUAUGGAGAUGCCUAGGAACAUUUACGUACCUCUGGUCUGCCACAUACAAAAACUAAUCAGGCUUGUGCUUCUGUAUCCACGUCACAUUUACUUUUCAUUACCAAAGCCGUUGAUGUUGUCUGAUCUCUCUUGCCAAGAUUAAAUUCCACAAGCCCAUUCACUCUGUCACGACUCGGAACUCCCAUCGACCUGUAACAACCGUCGCGUUGUCCCGAUCGACACUCAUUACUCAGAUUGUCAACUGGAACCCUGCAAAGCUUUAAUAUCAGUUUCUCUUUUUCCUGGUGAGCAUUCGUUACCAAAUAUCAUGUUCUAAAAGAAUUUAAGCUAUUUCCAACUGAAGUCAAUAAAAAAAAUGAUUUAUGUCUCACAUGGGCAUUUUAGUCAUUUUUCCUCAAAAAUCUCGAAACUAGCUAAAAAUGUAGUAUGCAAGUGGAAAACACAUAUUUCAUAAUCAAAAAUAAGUUUAGAUAUCUAAAACAUUCAUUUAAAGUGAAAUUAUAACUAUUUGAAUAUAAUAAAAAUAUUUAAUAAAAUAUUCUAUUUUCUUAUAAAACAAUACUUAUAGAGUUACCUGUAAAUAAUUUUUGUAGCGUAAAAGCUAAAUAAAUUCAUAAAUACUGUAAUACAAAUAACCAAAGUAUAAAAUUUAAUUUACAGUGACACGUGGGCCCACGAACGACUAAAAGUAUCAAAAGCAAUAAACCUACAGUUUUUGAGGAUGCAAGUCCAACUGUAGCCCUCAACGAAAUGAGCUAUCUACUGACUAUCCUGAGCCUAAAAUGGGUAAAAAGGAGGGUGGUGAGAUUAUAUAAUCCCAAUGAGUAAACAAAUAUCAUCUAAAAUAUCUAAAGCUGAAUAAAUGGAGACAGAUAAAAUAGUUUAACAUACUGUAAUUCAUCACCUUUUAACUCAUUUCAACCAAAUAAAAUCAAUUCAUAUAAAUCGAGUAAUCAACAUGGCUUAUGAAUUUCUUAAAACUUUGGCUAGUGCCAAAAUUAUUCUCAUACUCAGUUAUCAGGGAUACCUUGGUCGAGGGCUAUCCCAACCGAGUCUGCCAAGGUUGUUAAAAAGUUAUGUACGCAUAAAUCAUGUUUUUAUUUUGGAAACAUAGUCGUUCCUUGGCGUUGGCUGAGUUCGCCCUCACAUGGUGGUUUGGCGUGAAGUGAACUCUAAAGUUUUAACCUCAUGAGUUAUCCAAUUGUGCCCCUCAUACUGAGGUAUGAAUAUUAUAGGGUUAUCGUGCCCCUCUAAUAGGCUGGUCCACGGAACCCGUCCACUGCAGCGACUAAUCAAUAACCCUCCAAUUCAAUAAAAUUCAAUAGCAUGACAUGGCAAUUUUAUCAUUAUCCAGCCUAUCAAGGCAAACAAUAGUUUAUGCAUUUUCAACACAAAUACCAAUUCAACCAUUCCUGCCAAUAUUAUCAUAAGCCAUUCAAUUCAAACCAUGAUUUAUAAAACAACAAUUAGUCUCCAAUUACUCCAUUUUCAAAACCAUCAUUCAAUUUCAAGACAAUUUUAUAAAAUCAUUUCAUUUAAUCACAUUUUGUUUAUAAAACAUAAAGAUUUACUAUUUAAACUCAUUUUCCAUAAAAUCACAAAAUCGGAUAAAAACCACUUUAGAUAAUUAAGAUGAUAGUAAGGUUACUCACUGUUUCAGGAGUCGAAUUUUGAGUACUCCGAUUCUUGAUCCUCAGGUACUAUCUCUUUACUUUUGCCAGAAUGCUCACCACCUAGACAUAAUGCACAAUAAGCCAUUUAAUACAUUUGUGCUAAAUUGUUAUAAAACCAAUUCAGGCUUUAUACUAAUGCAUGAAAUGGGAUGUGAAAUACUCGGUUAACUAUCUAAAUAUGGUGUUCAAUAUAAAUUCAAUUAUGUACCUAAAUAAAACGGUAUUGGCCUAAUUCGAUCUAUCACCCGAUUAAUUGGCCAAUACGUCCAAUUCAACUCCGAAUAAUUUCAUUUUUCUCCCAAUACUCCAAAUCAUCAAACACAAGUUAAAUAACUUGAAUUAUGGCAAAAUCAUCCUCACAUUUUCUCUUGGAAAAAUCGACCACGGUGGGUGCAUCAACACUAUAAUUUUUCAAGCUUGAUUCUCACACCAUAAAUCACUAAUUUCUAACCAAAUCACUUGAAAUAAAUCAAAAUCAUCAUCAAUACUCUACAAGGAAGAUUCAGCCAAUGGAGGUUCUUAAGAGGUAUACGGUUUUUCAUGCUAAACAUUACCAUUUUCAGUUUCCACCACCACAAUUCAUUAAAUUCUAACUAAAUAACAUAAGACAUCACAAGAUUCAUCUUCAAUAUUGUCUUUAUGAAAUUCAGCCAAUGAAGAAUCCAUGAAGAACAUGUGAUUUUUCUUACUUGUUUUCCUUCCAAACAUGAUAAAUCAACUAUAAACACUAAAAUAUCUCAAAAUCUAACCAAAUAAAUCAUCAAAUCUUCUCUCUCUAAAUUCGGUCAGCCAUGAAUCCUUCAUGAUAUCUUGUGAUUCAUCCAUGGAAAAUGCAAAAUAAUGCAUGGAAAAGGUAUAUCACAAGUCAAAAUCAAGAAAGUUUACCUUUGAUUGCUUGAUUACUUGAAAUCCAUCAAUUUUCUCUUGAAUUUUCACUCUAGGGUUUUUGUUCUUCUUUUCUUCCUUUGUUCUUGCUAUGGCCGGCCAUGAGAAAUGAGUUGGGAGAGUUUAUGUGCUGAUUUUUAAAGUCAAAUAUAAAUGGAUGAAAAUUUGACACAUGUCACCAUUCCAUUGGCCCAUGUGUCAUACUUACCCAUUAAGCAAUCUCUCUCCACCACUUAAAUUUUCUCAAUUAUCCAUGAUAAUAUUGGAUAAACUCCAUGUGUUGGACAAGUGUUGGGUGAUGUAAAAUUACAAUUUUACCUUUGGGUGGCAAAAUGAUUAUUUUACCCCCUAUGCUCGAAAAAAUGUCAAAACUAAAAUUUUUCACUUCUUAAACUCAAAUUAUGUUCUAAAUAGUCAAUCUUGAUCAAAAACUUCUUCCAACAUUCCAAUUUUAACCUCGGGUGGCAAAAUGACCAUUUUACCCCUAGAUCAUGAAAAUUCCAAUUUGACUCCAAAUCGGUCCUCGAACUCCGAAUCACCAUUUUAAGUCAUUUUGGGGCUUUAAAAUUCUCAAUUUCAUCUUAAAAUCUUUAUUUGGACUAAUUCGAGGUUUAAUUCAACUUAAUUGUACCAUUUGGUACAAUACCGUCCUUUAACGAUUUUCGAGGUACCCAAGUAAGCAAACAUGCAUUCUUAUGUAGGAAUGGUAUAAUAAACAUAUUGUAGAGCCGAGCUUGACAUUCUCAAAGGAGAAAACAAAAGUUUUAGAGUGUGUGAGCCUAGUGAAUUUGAAUACAAAAAGUGGUUUAAAACAAGAUGUUCCAACUAGGUGGAACUCCACAUUUCUCGUGCUUGAAAGUGCACUUUAUUUUCGCUUGGCCUUUUCUCAUUUGGAAAUUAGUGAAUUAAAUUUUAAGCAUUCUCCAUCUAUAGAUGAGUGGGAUAGAAUUGAGAAACUUAGCAAAUUCUUAAGUGUAUUUUAUGAGAUUACUUGUGUGUUUUCUGAAACAAAGUAUCCCACAGCCGACUUGUACUUUCCUUCGAUAUUUAUGGCACGCAUAACCUUGCAAGAACAUAUGAAUGGAGAUGAUGUGUAUUUGAAAAAUAUGGCUACUCAAAUGUUUGUUAAGUUUGAGAACUAUUGGUCUGAAUUUAGUUUGAAUUUAGCUAUAGUUAUGAUAUUUGAUCCUCGGUACAAGAUUCAAUUUGAGGAAUGGAGUUACACAAAGCUUUAUGGGAGUAAUUCAACUGAAUUUAAAAAGUUUAAAGAUCAUUUAUUUGCUCUUUAUGAUGAUUAUGCUAUCAAGGUUUCUAAUACUCCAUCUUCUUUAAAUGAUACACCUUUUGAUGGGAAAAAACAAGUUCUUGAAGGUAAUUUUUUUAUUUUUGAAGUUUAUUUGUUAUUAAAUUUAAUUUUCUUUUGUUUUUUUUAUUUUAAUAUUUUUUAAUUAUUUUAUCUUUAUUAAUUAGGAGUUUGACAAUUUUCAACGUGAGUUUGGGACUGCCAAUAACAAAUCUCAACUAAAAUAAUAUUUGGAUGAACAAAAGAUUGAAAUGACAAUUGAAUUGGAUAUUUUACAAUUUUGGAAGACAAAUCAGUUUCGUUAUCGCAAGGUUUCUACCAUGGCUCAAGAUAUCUUGGCGAUUCCUGUAUCAACAGUGGCUCGCGAGUCUGCUUUUAGUGUUGGCAAUAAAGUUCUUGAUCAAUAUCAGAGCUCACUUAAACUAGAUGUUGUGGAGGUAAUUUUAUGUUGUAGGGAUUGGCUAUUUGUGGAAAUUGGUAAUACAUUCUUUCAUUUAUUUUUGGCUAUGUUUCUUAUGUUUAAAUGCAUGAUUAGAGUAAGUUUGAUUUAUUUAAUUGUUUUUAAUAAAAUUUUUUUAUAUUGUAGCAUAUGUAGAAACAGAUAUGAACAAUCUUACCACAUAUGUCAUGAAUUUAGAAAUUAGUAAGGAAGAAAUGUCAUCAACCAACUGCUCUAAUACUGUUGAUGUUGAUUAAUCAUCAAUGAAAGUAAUGCUUUAAACUAAAUUUUACAUUUUAUUUAACUUUUUCUAUUUUGAUUUAAUUUUAUUAAUAUAUUGUUGCCAUUUCAUUAUUAGGUUUUGUGAUGCCGGAAUGAUGUGACAUUGGCAAACGAAUUUUCGAUUUUGAUUUGUUCAUGGUGAUGAUGUGGUUAAUGAUAUGCAUUUUAUUACGAUUGAAAAUUAUGAAUGAUUUUUUAUAUUAUUAGUAUUUGAAGGUUAGAUGUUAAUGAUGUAUUUUAUCAUAUUAUAUGAUAAUGAAUUUUAUGUAUGUUAUUUAUGUUAAAUUUCAUUAAAGUUGAUGUUAUUAUUAUUUUUUUUGUUUUGUUAUAAUUAUUUUUAUAAUUAUAGAUUUUAAAUUUAAAUAACAAAAUUAUAUUUAAUUGUAAAUAUUUUUAUUUAAUCGUAUUAAACGUGUUAUUAAUCAUGUCAUAUCGUAUAUUGACACGUUUAAUAAAUGUGUUAAUCGUAUCGUAUCGUGUUACACAGUUAUUAAACAUAUUCGUAUUCAUAUUAUUAAUCGUAUAUGUUUUAAAUUUAAGACACGAAUAAUAAUUGUGUCGUAUUCAUAUUUAACCUUAACGUGUUUCAUGUCUAAUCGUGUCUGGCAUGUUUAAAACACGAAAACAUGAAUUGCCAGGUCUACUCUCUGCAUUGGAAGCACUAAUAGAAAGAAGAGAUAGAGAAAAGAAAAACUUAUCAAUCUAUCAAAGGAAGUUGAGUAGAUCUUAUGAUAAGUUAGUAAAAAUGAGGAAUUUUGAAAAGGGUGAUGUAGUACUACGUGCAACUGAGCAUAUUAGAAGAGGAACCUUAGCUUCUAAAUUCAGCCCAAAAUUAGAAAGACCAUAUAUUGUUCAUGAGGUGAAUGAGAGCGGAUAUUACAAAUUGAUAAAUUCAAAGAACAACGCCAUCACUGCUCCAAUCUAUUUUCAAUAUAUAUAGAAGUAUUAUUUAUGAGAUUCCCACUCAGUCCUUGUUAUAUGCAAAAUACAUUAUUUGAUUCUUCAUCAUCUUAAGUAUCUAAAUGAAAAGCAUUCAAGCCGCAACUUCCCCUCUUUUAUAUUGGUUGUGUUUCACUAUUAAUAUUUUAGCCGCUAGCUUCAUUCCUUAUACCUUGGCUGCAAUUUAUUAUAUUAUUGGUCGCAAGCUUUAUCAUUCAUUCUUUGACCAUAAUUUAUUAUAAAUGUUUCAGCUUGUAGUACCCCGUAUUUUAAUACGGUGGCUAAUAGAGUUUACGGAUGCCAAUUGACAUUGAUUCCUGAGUUAAAAAGGGUAAUUCAUAAGUGAACCUAUGCAAUCUCGAUCUUCAUAGGCACAUAACGAGAAGUAGACGCGAUAAUGCCGAACAGGGAUAAUUUCGUAAUUUCUCUUGGUAGGCUCCUACGAGUGGGUUUUUUUAUGCCAUUAAGGUCUAAAUAGGCCUAAGGAAUGAAUGAAUGAUGUUUAUGAUGGUAAAUAAAUGAGGAAGAUAAAAACAAUGAUAAUUUCCAUGUUAUGGGUAAAAUGGUCAUUUUGCACUCGAGUCUAAAUUUUUAAGUUUCGUGAAUUCGAGUACCUUUAGACUAUUAUGGACUUUGUUUCAGUGUCAAAAAAGCAAAAAGGUUGCACAAAGGAUGAAAGGAAGACAAAGCCACCACGUUAAGGGCAUUUUGGUAAUUUCGGUGGAAAUUUGGAUUAACUUAAUGUCACGACCCGGAACCUCCCUCGGGCCCAUGACAACCGUCGCGAUGUCCCAAUUGAUACUCAUUACCCGAAAUACCAAUCGAAACCCCGCAAGGCUUACAUAUCAGUUUUAAAUAAUUUUCAGUCGUUUCCGACUCAAGUAAAUCAAAAGACAAAAAUAUAGCAUUUUUAUAUAAAACAAUAUUUAUAAAAACACAUGUAAGUAAUCUUUUGUAACUUAGAAGUAAAAUAAAUUCAUACAUACAAUAAUUUACAAAAUUAUAAUGUACAAUAAUAAUUACAAUGAUAAGUGACCCAUAAAUACACUAAGUGUUGGUGAUAGUAACCUACUGUCUGUGUGAUAGAGGGGUCAACUGGAAUCCUCGAUAAAAUCGGGUAUAUACAAGCUACCACAGGCCUGAAAUAUUUGGAAAGGAGGUGGGUGAGAUUUUGCAAUUCCUAUGAGUAAACAAACAUUAUCAUAAAUAUCUAAAGGCGAGUAACAUGGAGGCAAGUUUAAACAACAAAUUACAAACCAUUUCAUAAGGUUUUCAAUUUAUUUCUUAAACCAUAAAAUAUUUGUAAUUUACCAAAACAGUUGUUAAGGCUUAUAACUUUUAUUAAAAACAAGGCUCAAGCCAAAACUAGUCCUCGGGGAUACCUUGGCUGAGGCAUCUAACCGAGUCCGUCAAGGUUGUUAAGAUAUUUACAUGUUAAACACAAGUUAGUUUUGAAAACAAGUCGUUCUUUGGUAUUGGCCGAGUUACACAUUCACGUGGGGGUUCGACGUGAAGUGAGCUCUAACACUACCCCGGGAGUUACCUUCAUCGUCUCUACAACCGGAGUAACUAUACAACCGGGUUUACCGUACCCCUCUAAUAGGCAAUCCACGAAAACUCGUCACUGCAGCGACUAAAUCCACCAAUUUUAAUAAAAUUUCGACAAUAUAACAUGGUUUUUAUUUAUUUAUCUAGCCUGCAUAGUAAAAGACAGCUUACAUAAAUUCCCAAUGCAAUUAGAAAAUAUAGCCACAUAUACUCAUAUAUCAUAAGCCAUUCAUAGGAAAAUAUAUUUUUCAAGACAAUUGGCAGCCUCCAAUUACUCAAUUUUAUAAUGAAAAGUUUCUUAUUUCAGAAAAUCAAGACAAUAUAUUUAUUUGUCACAUUUAUUUCUAAAACAUUAAAAAUCCCAUUUUAAUUUCAUUGUCGUUUCAUAAAAUCCAUAAAGAGCAUUUAAAAAUAAACUCUAGAUAAUUUACAAUAAUAAUAGGUUUACACACCAUUUGUACAAAUUAAAUGCUUUCUAAGUGCCCCGAUCACUAUUCGUCAGGUACGACUUCCUUGCUUUUACUGGAAGGCUCUCCUUCUAGACACAUUGAAAAAAUUUCACAAUUUACCACAUCGAUGCUAAAUCACUAUAUAAUUGACUUAAAUCCUAUACUAAUGCAUGGUAUGAAAUGCAAUAGCCUAAAACGGCUUAAACGCGGUAUUAACCUAUUUUUGGCACUUUACCNNNNNNNNNNNNNNNNNNNNNNNNNNNNNNNNNNNNNNNNNNNNNNNNNNNNNNNNNNNNNNNNNNNNNNNNNNNNNNNNNNNNNNNNNNNNNNNNNNNNNNNNNNNNNNNNNNNNNNNNNNNNNNNNNNNNNNNNNNNNNNNNNNNNNNNNNNNNNNNNNNNNNNNNNNNNNNNNNNNNNNNNNNNNNNNNNNNNNNNNNNNNNNNNNNNNNNNNNNNNNNNNNNNNNNNNNNNNNNNNNNNNNNNNNNNNNNNNNNNNNNNNNNNNNNNNNNNNNNNNNNNNNNNNNNNNNNNNNNNNNNNNNNNNNNNNNNNNNNNNNNNNNNNNNNNNNNNNNNNNNNNNNNNNNNNNNNNNNNNNNNNNNNNNNNNNNNNNNNNNNNNNNNNNNNNNNNNNNNNNNNNNNNNNNNNNNNNNNNNNNNNNNNNNNNNNNNNNNNNNNNNNNNNNNNNNNNNNNNNNNNNNNNNNNNNNNNNNNNNNNNNNNNNNNNNNNNNNNNNNNNNNNNNNNNNNNNNNNNNNNNNNNNNNNNNNNNNNNNNNNNNNNNNNNNNNNNNNNNNNNNNNNNNNNNNNNNNNNNNNNNNNNNNNNNNNNNNNNNNNNNNNNNNNNNNNNNNNNNNNNNNNNNNNNNNNNNNNNNNNNNNNNNNNNNNNNNNNNNNNNNNNNNNNNNNNNNNNNNNNNNNNNNNNNNNNNNNNNNNNNNNNNNNNNNNNNNNNNNNNNNNNNNNNNNNNNNNNNNNNNNNNNNNNNNNNNNNNNNNNNNNNNNNNNNNNNNNNNNNNNNNNNNNNNNNNNNNNNNNNNNNNNNNNNNNNNNNNNNNNNNNNNNNNNNNNNNNNNNNNNNNNNNNNNNNNNNNNNNNNNNNNNNNNNNNNNNNNNNNNNNNNNNNNNNNNNNNNNNNNNNNNNNNNNNNNNNNNNNNNNNNNNNNNNNNNNNNNNNNNNNNNNNNNNNNNNNNNNNNNNNNNNNNNNNNNNNNNNNNNNNNNNNNNNNNNNNNNNNNNNNNNNNNNNNNNNNNNNNNNNNNNNNNNNNNNNNNNNNNNNNNNNNNNNNNNNNNNNNNNNNNNNNNNNNNNNNNNNNNNNNNNNNNNNNNNNNNNNNNNNNNNNNNNNNNNNNNNNNNNNNNNNNNNNNNNNNNNNNNNNNNNNNNNNNNNNNNNNNNNNNNNNNNNNNNNNNNNNNNNNNNNNNNNNNNNNNNNNNNNNNNNNNNNNNNNNNNNNNNNNNNNNNNNNNNNNNNNNNNNNNNNNNNNNNNNNNNNNNNNNNNNNNNNNNNNNNNNNNNNNNNNNNNNNNNNNNNNNNNNNNNNNNNNNNNNNNNNNNNNNNNNNNNNNNNNNNNNNNNNNNNNNNNNNNNNNNNNNNNNNNNNNNNNNNNNNNNNNNNNNNNNNNNNNNNNNNNNNNNNNNNNNNNNNNNNNNNNNNNNNNNNNNNNNNNNNNNNNNNNNNNNNNNNNNNNNNNNNNNNNNNNNNNNNNNNNNNNNNNNNNNNNNNNNNNNNNNNNNNNNNNNNNNNNNNNNNNNNNNNNNNNNNNNNNNNNNNNNNNNNNNNNNNNNNNNNNNNNNNNNNNNNNNNNNNNNNNNNNNNNNNNNNNNNNNNNNNNNNNNNNNNNNNNNNNNNNNNNNNNNNNNNNNNNNNNNNNNNNNNNNNNNNNNNNNNNNNNNNNNNNNNNNNNNNNNNNNNNNNNNNNNNNNNNNNNNNNNNNNNNNNNNNNNNNNNNNNNNNNNNNNNNNNNNNNNNNNNNNNNNNNNNNNNNNNNNNNNNNNNNNNNNNUUGUCUCUAUGUUGUGACAUGUGGCUAUUAUGGAUUCAUGUACCACUAUAUUAUGUUGAUAUAUACAUAUAUAUACGAAUAUAUGUUGUGCAUUGAUGAAUAAUGUUGUGUGAUGAUAUUGACCCGGCUAUGUGCGAGUAGGGAGUGCACAUAACCGAUGAUGAUGAUGACUCGGCUAUGACGAUGAAUGAAGUGGGGUGGUGUACUUGUUGAUAUAUGUUUAUAUAUGUAUAUGUGAUUGCAAGUUUAUGAUUAUAAUAUGUGAUUGUUUUGAAUGAUGAUAACUUGAUUAUUGUCAAUGUGUUCACUUUGAUGUGCAAUAUGGUAGGGAUGAAUUUUGUGGCAUGUGAAAACCCCUUAUUUGUCAUUUUCCCUGAAUCUCGCUGCAGCGAGAAUGCGAGAAACUCUCGGGUGGUGGGGGCAUAAACCAGCCCUGUUUCUCGCUGCAGCGAGAAACUCGCAAGUUCUAAUGCAGUACUUUCACUUUGAUGAAGAUUUUGAGCAUCUUUCCGUCUAAACAGAGAAAAGUGGUAAACAUAAAAGUUGUAGCCCUGCCUCUUAGAUUUCUAAUGGUCUAAAAAUAAGGUCAAUUGGACUUCUGUAACGGGAGAUAUGGUAAAAAAACUAAAACACAUGCAAACUAACACUAUUUCUUCCUGCAACGAGAAACUUUCUGUUUUGGCCGCCCGAAUCUCACUGCAGCUACAAACUUGCUGCCAUGCUUGCUACCUUGCUUGAUUUUGACCUACUUUUCACCCAUUUAACUUCAUGGAUUGAUCAUGGGUUUAUGAAACACUAUGAGCGUAUUAAUCAAGGUUUGAAAUGAGGGGUUUUUAGUAAGAAAUUAAAUCAAGUGCAUCAUGAUUUCCAAAUUCUUCCUAUCAAUUGCUUGUUCCCUUCUUAUGUUCACUUACUAAGUUUUAUACUCACGUUUUUAAACUUUAUGUUUUUAGAUUUGAAGGCAGUUGGGACCUAGAUUGAGUCGCACACAUAUGCUGGCCUUAUUGGUAGAUACUAUGGCAUCUCAGUAGCGGUACCUUCACUUAAAGUCACUCCACUGAUGGUUGAGAGUCUUUUAUUUGUGUACAUGUAUAUGGAAUGUAAACUACUAAAAGUCAUGUUAUAAAUGAAGUAUGUAUAUGUUGGAUUGAUGAUAAUGCCUUAUGAGAUGGCAAUGAAUGAAAAUACUUUAAGAUAAUACAAAUAUGAAUAUUCGAUUGCUAUAAAUUAUUACUGAAAUAUUCAUCAUUGAGAACUAAAAUAUGUGGUUUUAGAAAUGAUGGUUGGGAUUAAUGAUCGGGAUUGCAUAAAUAGGCUUGCUUGGGCUUAGUGGGCUAUGCCCAUUGGGCUCAUGCGCAAGUCAUAGCUCAAAAUUUGGGUUGUGACAAAGGUGGUAUCAAAGCUCUAGGUUUAGUUGAGUCCUAGGGAUUCUUGUGUCAGUCAGCGGAGUUGUCGGAGUUAAUGUAGGGUUUUGUUUAUGGUUUGUGACGCAGCACAAUUCAUAGAUAGGAGGCCAUAUAAACUCCUAUUCCUAGUAACCUAUCGUCUUGCUAACCUUAUGCAAAGGUCAUAAGUAGUGCCGUUGUCCGGAUUUGAGAUGCCACCUGAGACACAAGCUGUUGUUGGAAAGAUUUUAAGCAAAUGCUUCUAAUGAAAGGCUAAUGUAAUAACAAAUUCCUCCGAUUAAAGAUGAAGGAAAUUGGAGCUGGACUAAUAAGUCCGUAAUGACUUAUUCAUUCAGUGGAGUUAUAACUUGAGCCUAUAAUUAUCAAUGAGAAGAAAUUGGAUGAUAUUGGAUCAUUAUUGCGAUCAAUAUAAAGAAACGUAUACAGUAAUGGUACAAGGGGCAUACUUUGAUUGGAAUGAAUAAUGAUGAUUGUGAUUCACUUGGAGUUUAUAAAUUUAAGCAUUAAGGUAAGUGUAAGCCAAUACUUAUGUGCAUGGAGGUAAGUGCACUUGGUUAAUCGAGCUUGUUAUGCCAUAUAUAAAUGGUGUUGGGCUUCCGAAAUAUUUAUAUGAGAAUAUGUGUUGAAUAUGGGUACAACAGGUUAGAGGGAGCUGGUUUUGAUUCCAAUUAAGUGACUAUGAGAUCCCAAGGGUUAAUUUGAACUAUUAUGGUUUAAAAUUAAAGGUAUAUGACUUAGCUCAAUGGUGAAAAUCACUUAUUAUUAUAAUUGAUGUAUGGUCACGAAGUAAAAGGCUAGCAAAUGAUCUACUCUAAGGAUGAGCUUAAAUUUUGCUACGCUUAGUGUGGAGCCAAAAGAUUAAAGGACUAGAUGUAGAUUUAGCAGUUUGAAUUUAAAUGACAUGGAAAUGACAAAUUUAAUCUAAGUGCCAUAUGGAGUUCUAUAUGAAGAUCGAUAUAUGAAUUGCUUUAAAGGUCAAUUUAAAAAUAUGUUUGGUUUAAUAUGCAACCUAUGAUGUAAAUGAUUAGUCUUGAAUGUGACUUCUCCAAAGGUAAGGGACUUAAAACAUGUGGAUUUUCAUAUAUGCUUUAAGAGGAAGCUUUGCAUCCUAAGCUUAAGAAAUUUUGAUCUUAUGACUGCAAAAACAAGAUACAAAAAUUAAAUGAAUUGUUUAUCUUAUGGAUGUAAUUGGUUAAGAAUUGAUGAGUAAAGUCAAGAUCUCAACACUAAGUGGUGUACAAUUUGAUAUAUGUGUAUCUAAAAGUAAAUUUGGAGAUCAUUGCUUAAUCAAUUUGCACUGAAUGUUGUGGUAAAGGUAUAUGAAUGUUGGUAGUGAAGUAUGUCCAAAGUGAGAUAUGUGGAGACUAAUGUUCUGAUCACAAACUUGUGAUAGAAAGCUAGUUUUGCAAAUUGUGGUUUUUAUGACCAUGAAAUAUAUGGAGGUUACCAAUAUGUAAGCAUACACUCGAACUUGUAUAUCUUGCGAGUCGCAUGCAUUGUAUGGAAGGAGAUAUUCCAUAGAAGGAUUUGGCCUAAUUGGUGAGUACAUGACUAUAGGUUUGGUAUGAGAUUAAGAAUGCCUUAACAUGUAUGAGAAGUGUGUUGCGAAUGGCUGAAAGUCAUUAAGACGAAUGAUGGGUGAAACAUAGGUGUUGUUAGGAUAAGCAUAAAAAGCUCAAGGAUAAUCAAUGCAAUUAUAUUAAGUUAGUUUGGUUCGGUCCGAAAUAAAAGUAAAGACGUCUUGAAAGAUCUUAAAAUAAUGUUCAAUGGGGUUAAUGAGCUAAAUGUUAUCGAAUAUAUAUUAAAUUGUUAAAGUUAUGUGUGGCUUUGAAGAUAAGCCUUUGAUUAUCUGAGUCCUCAACAGAAUUCUAUUAAAGGAUGUGUUUAAGCAUUUUGCAAGUAUAUUGGAAAACAUAAGAAUAAUAUAUUAGUUUGACUUGCUAUAAGAGGUCGAAUUUGGAUGGCCAUGAGUGGCUGGUGAACAAUCAAGCAGUGUAAAGUAUGUACUCAUAAAAGGAGCUAUGAUUGGUAGAUAAAGGUGGAACUUUAGAAUUUCAUUGUCAUAGUUACUAGAUUAUUUUUUGUAUUAUAUGAUAUAGCGUAGAACAUCAAUGAUGAGGUUGUGUUCAAUGCUUUAGGCUUUGAACUGUAAGUUAUGGACAUGUAUCCACCUUGUGAAUACCCUGAUGAGAUAAAUUUGAAAGAUUUUUCAUAGUGAGACAACAUUAAAGCUCAAAGAGCAAAUGGCUAUAUAGUCAAGUUGGGCUCGUGACUGAUAUGUCACAUAAGGAUGAAGAUAUGAUACAAGCAUAAGUAUACUUGGAAAUGCUGGUUUGAGGCAAUGAUUAUCCUACUGUUUUGUGGACCUGAUGAGGUUCUAGUCUUGACAUAAUUGUAGACGCAAGGCAUAAAUUGUGAAAUGUGUUUCCCCUACAAGUUCCAAUUUAUUUUGAGUAAUUAUCAAGGUAAAGUGCUUGGUAAGUGUAGGCAAAGGUUGAAUUGUGUUUCAAAUGUUUAGAGAAUGAGGGUGACAUGGUUUGAUUAAAUGAUACUACCCUUGGUAAGGGAAUAGAAAUACGCUACGAAAAUUGUAAAAAUCUACUUAGAAAAGAGAUGAUGAUUCGAGUAUUUAUAUAUGAGUAAAGACUUUGGUAAUGAGUUACGACCUAUAAGCAUGAUAUUAGAAUAUGAAUUUUGGCUAAGAAAAAUCUAUUUUAAGACACGUGGUGCUUUGGGGAUUGUGCCAAUUAAUGUUCAAUUCUAGUAUGAGAAUAGAAUAUUAACAUUAACUUUGUGUAUUCACCACAAAUGAUGAGCAUGAUUUAACCAACUAUAAGAAGAAUUGAUUCUAAACUUGAUUGUUGGUUAUUUUGGUUUUACAGAUGGCUUAUUGAGCUUGAUAUGCCUAAGGCUAUUCGAAGUUAAAAUUUUUGAAAAUAUAUAUAUGUAUGGAUAUAUAUGUUACAUAUUGGUAUAAAAGUUUAUGCGGAGUUAGUUAUAAUUUGAUUUGAUGAUGACAUUCUAUCAAUGGUUAUAGUGCUAGACAAUGAUUAAGAUAAUUUAUCACUGAUUUUGGCAGUGAACAAGUGGAUUAUAAUGCUAUUAGCUUAAAAGUAAGUGUUUAUACUUUUGGUAUGAGACGCUUGGCAUAUAAACUAGCUAAACUGUGAGCUAGAAAUUGUUAGGUUAUUAUCCUUAGGGGCAAUGGAAAAUGAUGUAUCAGUUUUGGUAUAGCUUCAAUAUAUGUAGUUUUGAUAUAUAAAGAUGUGGGGAAAAGUUUAUAGCUUAUGCAUAAAGGUGUGCAUUUGAAUUCGUAUAAUUAAAAGUGUAAAAUCUGCCUGGAUUGGUGUAAAGCUCAUGAUUCAAAAUGAAUGAUUAUGGAUUUAAUUUUCUAAGGUAAAAAGGACUAAAAUAAGUUAAUAUCAAAAAGGUCUUAAUAGAUGAUUCUUAAAUUUUAAAGUGCACUUAAGGAGAGAUAAAUGUUUAAUUUGAUCUUCAGAUUGAUAAACUAAUGAGGCCAUGAGAUCUUAUGUUUGGAGUAAAUUUGAAGAAUUUCAAGUUAGAUAUGUUGUAUGUGAUUGAUGAUGAACAAAUUAGCUACGACAUUGGAAAUAUAGAAAUGAUUAGUAAUCAAGAUGAGACUUGGGAAAGGAACUUUAAAGGGAAAAUUUUAAGCAACUUUAAUCUUGAGAGGUUGAGUUAUUGAUUAAAGAGAUUGGUUAAGAUCAUAAAGAGGCAUGUGGGAUGUCAUGGUUUAUUGAUAUGCCUGGUGGUAUAAGUUGAGAUUUAUCUAGUGAGCACUCGAUCUGAAAGUAUUGGAGUUUUGUUUUUGAGAAAAUGGUUACUAAUGGUUAUCAUAUUUGAAUCAUCCGUAACGUUAAACAUAUAUGAAUAAAUAAAGAGCAUUUGAUCCUUAUGUAUUGUGAAAUGCUUAAAUGGAAUUUAUAUGGGAGAAUGAAAAAUGAAAUAAAGAUUGGUUGACAAAUUAGACCCAUAGUCAAUGGUGGAAUAGAUGCUUGAAUAUUGGAAGGUUUGAUAAAGGUGCGAGGUAGAGGAGUUGCGGAUGGUUAAGUAAACAUGCAUAAUUGAUGAUUUAAGGAUGAUUUGAUUGAGGUGUGACCAGAAUUAAUAGCUUCUUUGAAUUUUUUUCAUAAGAUGAAGGAUGAUAUUGUUUUGAUCCAACAAUAGUAGUACACAUAACUAUAUAUUAUGACAUUGUCGAGUUUUCUAUAGGAUUGGAAGUCAAUAUGAUGCAUAAACCAAGAUUCUAUGUUAAGAAUUCUCGAUGAAAGUGAUGUGGCGGAACUUUAGAACGUUGAUUAUUCACCCUACACUGAUUUGAAUUCGAGGAUGAAUUCGUUUUAAGUGGAGGAGACUAUAGUACCCCGUAUUUUAAUAUGAUGGAUAAUAGAGUUUACGGAUGCCAAUUGAGGUUGAUUGCUGAGUUAAAAAGGGUAAUUUAGAAGUGAACCUAUGAAAUCUCUGUCUUCAUAGGCACAUAACUAGAAGUAGACGCGAUAAUGCGGACCAGGGGUAAUUUCAUAAUUUCUCUUAGUAAGCUCCUACGAGUGGGUUUUUUGAUGCCAUUAAGGUCUAAAUAGGCCUAAGGAAUGACUGAAUGAUGUUUAUGAUGGUAAAUAAAUGAGGAAGAUAUAAAUAAUGAUAAUUUCCACGUUAUGGGUAAAAUGGUCAUUUUGCACUUGGGUCUAAAUUUUUAAGUUUCGUGAAUCCGAGUACCUUUAGACUAUUAUGGACUUUGUUUCGGUGUCAAAAGAGCAAAAAGGUUGCACAAAGGAUGGGAAGAAGACAAAGCCACCACGUUAAGGGCAUUUUGGUAAUUUUGGUGGAAAUUUGGAUUAACUUGAAGCUCAAAUAUCUGAGCUCUAGCAGCUUCCAGCAACUUCUUCUUCCUUCCAUUUCAUGUUUCUUCAUCCUCCAUGGAAGCCUCCCUUAAAGCUUCCAUAACUUUCUCUCUCUAGCUUCAAUUUUCAUGCUUUUGAGCACUUUUUUAUAGAACUUUUUAUGCUCUUUCACUCUCCCACCUUAAAAUCCCCAAAAGUCUUUGUUCAGUACUUUCUCUCACUAGUUGAAAGUUUUAGAGAGAGAAAGAGAAACUUGCCAUAGUAGCUUGGAAGCUUUUGAAAAAGGAAUUCAACUACAAAAAACCACCAAAAUGAGCAAUGAAUUAGGUUAAAUUUUCAAGUUGUUGAUAAUGGUUGAUGAUUAGAGUGGUGAGUUAAUCUAUUGUUGAGAUUGUUAUUCAUUUUUAAAGUGACUAGAGUAGUGAAACAAAUAGCCACCUAAUGGUGAUUGAAAGCUAGUUAGGAAUAACUAGUUGAACUUGAGUUAAGAAAUAGCUUUUAGAAUUUUAUUAAUGCCAAUUUGGGUUGGUUGUGAUGUUGUGUAUGUAUAGGUUCCAACAAGGCCUCACCUGCCCAUUUGAACCAUUAGUGGAGGUUAGAGUCGAUUAGAGGUUCAACAAUACCGGUGAGUGAACUUGCAUCAAAGUGUUUUUGAAAAAUACAUAUGUGUUGAGAUGAAGCAUUUAAAUGAUUUUACUUGGCUUUUCAUUAAAUUAUGCAUGGGAACAAGCCCUUGAUAUUUUGUCUCUAUGUUGUGACAUGUGGCUAUUAUGGAUUCAUGUACCACUAUAUUAUGUCUUCUAACGCAUUUUCCAAGGAAGACUUGUUGUGAAAAACUUUGGCUUUAGAUCUACAAUUACUGAGGCACUCAAGCUGUAGCUUAUUGAGGCAGUCAAGUUGUAUCAUACAUUCUUUGACCAUAAUUUAUUAUAAAUGUUUCAGCUGCUAGCUUUAUCGCUCAUAAUUUGACUGUAAUGAUAUUAUGUUAUUGGUCGCAAGCAUCAUCGCUUAUCUUUAGCUGUAGCUUAUUACUCAUAAACUGGCCGUAAAUUGUACGCUUAUUUAAAAGGAUGAAUGAAUCUCCUUCACGUCAAGUUAGAGUUAAUCUCCUUGAUGAAAAGUUGAGAGUUACCCUUUGGCCGCAUAUAAUAAUAUGAAAGGUGAAUAAGUACGCAACAUGCAUAUAGUAUUAUUAUUUUUGUAAAAGAAAAAGAAAUAUGAUAUGCCAAUAGCAAAGUACUAGCUAAAAACAAAAACCUAGCCAAUUACAUAUUCCAUAGAGAAGAGUUAUUAUUAGUAAAUACAUCUAUUUGUUCUCGUACUUUAGCUUCACACUUUUUCAAUGAAGCUAUCUUCUUCUAACGCAUUUUCCAAGGAAGACUUGUUGUGAAAAACUUUGGCUUUAGAUCUACAAUUAUUGAGGCACUCAAGCUUGAGUCCAAUGUUACAAGCAUCAUCAAAAUCUCGUAACAUCUAUUGCAAUUCCUCUGGUGAAGCACUCAUUAAUGGAGCAUGGGAAAUGGUUAAAGCUUUACCCAACACUUCCAUCAUUAAGCAAAUGGCAUCUAUGUUCUUUACAAAUGAGGCACUUCAAAACACUCUCUCUAUAUUAAAAAUAUGCUCCAAGUAUUCCACAUACUUCGAAAAAACUUGAAAACCAUGGAAGUUGUUAGAUUAAUAAGCUCAAUAUGAAUGAAUCCAAAAGGAGGUUAAAUUAGACUGUAUUAAAAUUUUUUAAGAACUUUUUAAUUUUUAAGAAGAUAAAAUCCCCUCUCUAAUUCAAAUGCUCAAUUUGAAGAUAAACAAGUUAAUUGACCUCUUGAUCAAUGAAAGAAAUUUGAAUUUCAAGUAAAGAGAUGAGUAGAAAAAUUGACACAAGUAUUUUAUAGAGGUUCGGCCUUUUUGCCUACUUCCUCUCUGUUAGAUUCACUUUUAAUGGAUUACAAUAACGGUUACUCACAUUAAAACUCUUCAUAAUAAUGCCAUUCAUUAUGCACAUUAAAACCUAUUCUUGAGUAACCGUGUCACGACCCGGUACUCCCUUCGAGCCCAUAACAACCGUCUCGACGUCCCAAUAGACAUUUAUUGCUCGGAAUGCCAACCAGAACCUCGGAAGGCUUUAAUAUCAGUUUUGGCAUCUCCCCUAUAAGCAACAAUUGUUAAGUAUCAUGUUUUGAGAGAUUAUAAACUAUUUCCAAAUCAAAACAAAAGAAAAAUAUUUUUUAUCUCAUAGGGGCAUUUUGAUCAUUUUUUCUCAAAAAUCUCGAAACCAGCUAAAAAUGUAGUAUGCAAGUCAAAAACACAUAUUUCAUAAUCAAAAAUAAGUUUAGAUGUCUAAAACAUUCAUUUAAAGUGAAACUAUAACUAUUUGAAUAUAAUAAAAUUAUUCAAUAAAAUAUUCUAUUUUCUUAUAAAACAAUAUUUAUAGAGUUACCGGUAAAUAAUUUUUGUAGCGAAAAAGCUAAAUAAAUUCAUACAUACUGUAAUACAGAGAACCAAAGUAUAAAAUUUAAUUUACAGUGGCACGUGGGCCCACGAACGACCAAAAGUAUCAAAAGCGAUAAACCUAUAGUUUUUGAGGAUGCAAGUCCAACUGUAACCCUUAACAAAAUGAGCUAUAUACCGACUAUCCUAAGCCUAAAAUGAGUGGAAAGGAAAGUGAUGAGAUUAUAUAAUCCUAGUGAGUAAACAAAUACCAUCUAAAAUAUCUAAAGCUGAGUAAAUAGAGACAAAUAAAAUAGAUUAGCAUAAAAAUGAUCCACAGCAUUCCGAACUCAUUUUAAUAAGAUAAAAUAAAUUCAUUUCACCCAAAUAAACAAUGAGGCUUAUGAUUUUCUGAAAAGCUUGACUCGUGCCAAAAUCAUUCUCAUACUCAGUUAUCAGGGACACCUUGGCCUGGGGCUAUCCCAACCGAGUCCACCAAGGCUAUUAAAAAAGUCAUGUACGCAUAAAUCAUGUUUUUAUUUGAAAACAUAGUCAUUCCUUGGUGUUGGCUGAGUUCACCCUCACGUGGUGGUUUGGCGUGAAGUGAACUCUAAAAUUGUACCUCGAGAGUUACUCUAUACACCUCUCCAAUCGAGGUAAGAAUAUAACGAGAUUCCAUGCCCCUCAAAAAGGCUGGUCCACAGAACCAACCCACUGCAGCAAGCUAAACCUACCAUACAAUAAAAUUUACAAUAGCAUGACAUGGCAAUUAUUUUAUUUUACAGCCUCUCAAGGCAAAUCAACAGUUCAUACAUUUUCAGCACAUUUACCAAUUCAACCAUUCAUGCCAAUAUUAUCAUAAGUCAUUCAAUUCAAACAAUGAUUUAUAACACAGCAAUUAGUCUCCGAUUACUCCAUUUUCAAAACCAUCUUUCAAUUUCAAGAUAAUUUUAUAAAAUCAUUUCAUUUAAUCACAUUUUGCUUAUAAAACAUAAAGAUUUACCAUUUAAACUCAUUUUUCUAUCAAAUCACAAAAACGAAUAAAAACUACUUUCGAUAAUUAAGAUGAUAAUAAGGUUACUCACUAUUUCGGGAGUCAAAUUUCGAGUACUCCGAUUCUUGAUCCUCGGGUACUAUCUCUUUACUUUUGCUAGAAAGCUCACUACUUAGACAUAAUGCACAAUAAGCCAUUUACUACAUUUGUGCUAAACCGUUGUAAAACCAAUUCAGGCUUUAUACUAAUGCAUGAAAUUGGAUGUGAAAUACUCGGGUAACAAUCUAAAUACGAUGUUCAAUCUAAGUUCAAUUGUGUACCUAAAUAAAAUGGUAUUGGCCUAAUUCGAUCCAUCACCCAAUUGAUUGGCCAAUAUGUGCAAUUUAACUCCAAAUAAUUCCAUUUUUCUUCCAAUUCUCCAAACCAUCAAACACAAGUCAAAUAGCAUAAAAUUUAGCAAAAUCAUCUUCACAUUUUCUUUUGGGAAUUUCGGCCAUGGUGGGUGCAUAAAUACUAUAAUUUUUCCUACUUGAUUUUCUCAUUGUAAUUCAUCAUUUCCUAACCAAUUCACUUAAAAUAAAAUCAAAUCCAGCAUCCACACUCUGCAUGGAAGAUUCGGCCAAUGAUGGGUGAUGGGAGGAAGUGAAUUUUUCUUGUUGGCUUUUCAUGCUACACAUCACUAACUAACUAAAAACACUAAAAUACAUUGAAAUCUAACCAAAUCAAGCAUCAAAACUUCCCUCUAAGUGUUCGGCCAGCAAGGGAUUCAUCAUGAUUUCAUGUGAUUCAACCAUGGAAAAUAAGAAAAAAUGCUUAAGAAAGAGAGAUCUCAAGUUUAAUUGAAAAAAUCUUACCUUUUUUUCACUUGUUUCCUUGAAUUUUCACACUUUUCCUUUGAAUUUUUCUACCUAGGGUUUUUUUCUUCCUUUUUUUUUGCUUCUCCUUGGUGAGACCGACCAUAAUGAAGAGAAAUGGGCUAGUUUUGUGCUAAUUUAUAAGGAAAAUAAUAAAGAAAUAAAAGCUUGACACUUGUCACCUUACCAUUGGUCUAUUUUUAAAUUCUUAACUAGUAAGCUUUCUUUCUCCACCACAUAAAAUCCUUCAAUUAUCCAUGAUAAUAAUGGAUGAAAUUCAUGUGCUGGACAAGUGUUGGGUGGUGUAAAAUUACAAUUUUACCCCUGGGGUGGCAAAAUGAUUAUUUUGCCCUCUAUGCUUGAAAAUGCCGGAAUUAAAAUUCUUCACUUCUCAAACUCAAAUUAUAAUCCAAAUGAUCAAUCUUAGUCAAAAAAUUUCAUCCAACACUCACAUCUUAACCUCGGGUAGCAAAAUGACCAUUUUGCCCCUAGGUCAUGAAAAUUUCAAUUAGACUCCAAAUCGGUUCUCGAACUCCGAAUCACCAUUUUAAGUCGUUUUGGGGUUUUAAAAUUCUCAAUUUCAUCUUAAAAUCUCUAUUUGGACUAGUUCGAGGCUUAAUUCAACUUAAUUGUACUAUUUGGUACAAUACCAUCAUUAACGAUUUUCAAGAUACCCAAGUAAACAAAUAUUCAUUCUUAUGUAAAAAUGGUAUAAUAAACAUAUUGUUGAACUAGGCUUGACAAACCGCCACUUCUAACAUUAUAUAUAGAACUUUCACAAUUCAUUUAAGGGACUUUCACUUUUCGAAACUACCUUAAUCUCACUCAAAGCUUCUCUCUCUAGGCCUCUUUUUAUUCUCUUCCACUUAUUAUGACACUCAGUACUUAAGAACUGUUUUGAUCUUCCCUUCUGUCACUUCCAGUACAUCCCUUACUUAUUUGUAACACUUUCUCUUCUUAUCACAAAAACCCCUUUACAGCCAUGACACAAGGACUAGAUUAGACCUUAAAUAUAAUAUAAAUACCAGCUUCGUCUAGAGCUGUCUAGCCACAAACAAAAUCGCAACCCCACCUACAAGAGAUUAAAACCCAAAACAAGAAUAGAAAAAAGAUAAAAAAAAAUACAAAAUAUUUAUAUUUAUUAUUUACAUUUAAGGAUUUUUAAAACUUAAAUACUAUCUCUCAUUUACCGAGAAUGUAUAGAAUCAUUAUACGACAAUCCAUCAAAUAUAAACUUGAAAAUUUUAAAAUAUAUCAUUGCAUUAUCCAAUACCCCAAUAUAAUUACCAAGCAUAGAAAAAUCUAUGGAAGAGUGUUCCCUGUCAUUGCAUAAUAUAGUCCAAAACCCAAUAGACCUCUGUAUUGAAGAAGAAAAAAAGAGUACUCUGAAUGGUUUUUGAAAGUGCAAUACGCUUCGAUUUAUGCAAAUUUUAAGAAGUAAAAUUUCUUAUGUAGGGAGUUAGAUUUGCUAAUCCCAACGGCAACAGUGCCCAAAAAUGCUUCAAAAGCAAAUGCUCUAGCAUGAACUUGGAAGACAAUUCAAAAACUACACAAGACAACAGAUUCAUAAGGCUGUACAACCCAUGCGAUUUAAUUAUGUUGAAGCUUGAGCCCGAUGUAAUCAGUUAAAAAGUCUAAGCCGCAGGGCCAUCUCAUGCAUGGAGAACCCGACCUUACCUUCUGGGUAGAGCCACCACAAAUUGAGAAAUUUGAUAGAAUAUUACAUGACUAACAAUCAUACAUAAAAACCAAAAAGGAAACAUGUCCGGAAUACAUAGAGGUACCACAUCACUAUUUCAAACAUAUAACCAACUUCCCACUCAUCCUAUCCAUCAUACUGAUUUUCAGGGAGAAACAUUUUCUUUUCACCCAUAACAAACACAAACUCCGGAAAGGGAAAGACUCUUAAUUACAUACAAAGCAAACACAAGCUUGAAUCUUAUACCAUAGUCGUACAUUAUUACCAAACGCUUUUUAUAGAUUUUGCCUCCUCACAUGUGCACCUCUACUCCUCCUCCUCCUCCUCCUCCUCCUCCUCAUACUCACCUUCCUCAUCAGCAGUGGCAUCCUGGUAUUGUUGAUACUCGGACACAAGGUCAUUCAUGUUGCUCUCCGCCUCUGUGAACUCCAUCUCAUCCAUACCUUCACCAGUAUACCAAUGCAAGAAAGCCUUCCUCCUGAACAUAGCAGUGAAUUGUUCACUAACUCUCCUGAACAUUUCCUGAAUAGAGGUCGAGUUUCCAAUAAAGGUUGAUGCCAUGGAGAGCCCUCUAGGUGGAAUGUCACACACACUGGAUUUCACAUUGUUUGGGAUCCACUCCACAAAGUAGGAAGAAUUCUUGUUUUGCACAUUGAUCAUUUGCUCAUCCACUUCCUUGGUGCUCAUCUUGCCUCUGAACAUGGCCGAUGCAGUGAGGUAGCGGCCGUGCCUUGGGUCAGCAGCACACAUCAUGUUCUUUGCAUCCCACAUUUGUUGGGUCAACUCAGGGACAGUCAGAGCACGAUACUGCUGGGAUCCGCGGGAGGUCAGAGGAGCAAACCCAACCAUAAAAAAGUGAAGACGAGGGAAGGGAAUGAGGUUCACUGCAAGCUUUCGGAGGUCAGAGUUGAGUUGACCAGGGAACC
rnacentral:lncRNA from 1 species